rnacentral:lncRNA from 1 species
UUCUUUUUUCUUGAAUUUGCAGUAACCACCUUCCAAAAGAUUAAGAAAAAUAUUUCAGUUUUUAUUUCCCUUAUGCACAAUUUCUAAUUAUUGACAAUAUGCAUUGUCCAGGCUCCUAGGAAAAGUAUCUCAAAUGAGAGAUUGCCGUCUAAAGAGGAAAUGCAGAUAUCUGCAAAAUCAUUGAAGGAGGAGAAUAAGGUUCAACAGUCUACAAAGAAAGUUACAGCAAACGGAACCAUGGGUGAUCAAGACAAGUCAAUUAAAUCAAGAAUAUCCGUUGGAAAGAGAUCAUCGGAUGCAUCUAACAAUGGAUUUCCGGGAAACUUGGUCAAGGUUCCUUUAAGUAACAGAAAAUUGACAGAUGGAGGUUUUCCAUGGGCUUCGCUUCCAUCAUCAGUUGCAAAGCUUGCAAAGGUAUAGUUUCUCUAACAUCUUAGAUUUUGGUUAGUUAACUGCAUAAAGCUUCUCAUUUUCCGCUUAUUGAGUAAAUUACAAUGUCCUUCUGCCAUUACGUUGGGUAAAGAGUGCUGUCAUAUUUCAGAGGUUUUUCCUACUGAAGUUUGAUAAAAAGAACCAUGUUUGUUAAUUGUUUUUGCGUAUUAGAUAAUGAUAUUGCCUUAUUUGUACUCCUUUGUUUUGCUUUGUACCAAUCGAGGAGCGUAAUUUUCAACAAUAGUUUCAUUUAUUUCGAAGCAACAGCUAACUUUUCUCUCUUCUGUGUGAGUUUAGUGACAUACAUGUUAUUUGGUAUGGUAGUCUUUCUAUAUUUGUACUAUGUUCUGCAACUUAGCACUUCUCUUACUAUAUACUUUCACAUUUAUCAUUAUAGGAAGUUUUGAGGCACAGGGAGUCAGCACAAAUGGCAGCAAUAGAGGCAAUCCAGGAAGCUUCUACUGCAGAGAGCUUACUUCGGUGUUUGAGGUAAGGCCAGUGACAUUGAAUUCAUUUACUUGUAGCUUCCUUUUGUUGAUUACAAUUAUUGUGGUCAAAUUUUAACUUUUAGCACUUCACAUGCUGCAUAUCUUCCGCCUAUUUAGGCUAUGAUUCACUUUGUGCCUGUAAAUUUCUAUUUGGUUGUAUGCUAUGUAGAUAGCAUAUAACAAAUUUUAACCCAAAGAAAUUUAAAUCGCAAUAACUGGUGCAAUUUAAUUCAUCAGACAGGCCUGUUUGUAAGUUUCUCAGGCUUCAGAGCUUGACAGAGAUAAAAGAAAAAUCCAUUUUCCCUCUAGAUUCAAGAUUCAUGUCCUUAAACAUAUGAGAUCAUUGUGUUGGUGGUGGGGUACCGGGGCGGUAAGGCAUUUAGUUAGUGUAGUGGAACCAGGUCAUAAACACGGGGAUAUGAACAGCAAUGGUUCAUCUUAGAUUAUAACAGAUAUAACAAUGUUCAGUUUGCAUGAUAAUAAGAAAACUCUUUUUACUUUAUGUACAUAAAAUUAUGAUCUUGGGGUGGUUAUGCAUGUAUUUAUCAUGAAGGCAAGGAUCAAUGUGAAGAUGAUAAAUAUGGACGGUGGCAGUCACAUGUGGGGUUGAUGAAGCUGGAUAUGCUGCUUUUAACCUUAAGGUUAUGGCAAGUUAUUACUUUAGCACCUUAGGAAAGUAAUAAAUGAUGAGACGGUAGUUAGUAUUUAGUAGAAAUGGGCAGGCCCAUGGUUUGCUCCUAGUGCUGUGGGGUUCAUGCCCCCUCAUGGUAUCUGCCAAGCUAUUUGCUAGUUUCCUCGUCCUCGAGAUUCUAGGGUCUGGGAGGUUGAGCAUUCUAAACUAGAAGAUACGGAAGAUUAGAAUGUUGUUAGGUUUUCUUAAUCAGUUAUUCGUACUUUCGUAGUCUAAUGCAUAUAUAUGAUCCCUAAGCAUCCAAGCCACGGCUAGAUGAUUAUUGUGAUCAACGCAAUCCAUUUCCAUUCCAGCUGCUUUUUCGGUUGAACUUCCUGAUCAGUUCUUUUCAUUAGCCUAUUUCAUCUUAAUCCUACAUCUAUCUGCAUAUACGAUACGUGGGUACUUGGGUAGCCUGUUUCCGUUUCCUCCUAUACUCUCUUGAGAUAUUGUGCAUGUUACAAGCCGUCCAAAGAAGUUACUGUUGGAGUCCAAUUUUUACUUAAAAAAUACUGAGUAGCAGUAACGUGCAAGUUAUGUGGAUACAAAUGCUUUAGAUGUACAAGUUGUUCUUUAAGCUGAGAGAAUUUAACUGUCAUAUGAGUAACCGGGUAUCGAGGUGAUAGAUACCCAACUGUGGCUGUGUUUCCGUAUCCUAAGUAUGGAUGCUUCAGCCACUUUUUUUGGAGUACAUGUAAUUUGUAAUGUCCUGCUAUAUCAGUUGUAGCUUUGAAAGUUUAAAGAGUUUCUUUUUCAGUUGUCUUUACAUUCCUUUUUCCUAAUGAACUUAUUUCUUAAGAAUAUAAAGAAACAAAACAUAAAAAAAGUAGAAUGCUUAACUUCAAAGUAUAUACAUCAUGUAUACGUGUAGUUCACCACUUGCUAGGUAGGAUGCUUGCUGUGCCAUUCCUGGAGAAAAAAAUAGGUAGUGUAGGUGUAUGAUAGAAAGAUAGUUUUUGAGACAUCAACAAAACCAAGUCUUCCAUUUUGAUAACCUAUUACUAGGUUAAUAUUUGAAAGAUAUAGAAUUUACUCAUUGUAUGCUAAGAUGACUUGAUAAUGUAAGACUACUUUGCAAUAAGAAGAAGCAAUCCCAAAAAAGAAAAAGAAGAAGACUCUGAACUUUUGCAAGUAAGUUUGUAAAGAGUCGGUCACAGUUGAUUAAUAUUGGACUUCUGAAUUGUGAUCGAGGAAACAAUAAGAAUUGAAACAUCUGAUUGUGCAAACGAAUCACUUCCAAGUGUGGCGUAGAUUGAUAUUACCUUUUUUUAAGCUUAAGAUUUGUAGUUUAUUUGUCUGACAUUCUAUGUUUUCAUGAUUUGUCAUGCAGCAUAUAUUCUGAGCUAAUUACCUCUGCCAAGGAAGAUAAUCCACAGCCUGCAGUGGAGCAGUUUUUAGCCCUCCAUGCUAACUUGAAUAAUGCUCGUCUAGUAGCUGAUUCUCUAUCCAAAAUUACACCAGCUGGUUCAUCCCCAGAUCGUGAAGAAACCCCGUCAGAAGAAGUGCUAAAGGUUACUUCUGAGAGGCGGAAACAGGCAGCAACUUGGGUACAAGCUGCAUUAGCAACUAAUUUGUCUUCCUUCGCUGUAUAUAGUAAAGAGUCCAGUUCAACCUCAGUUCCAGCUUCGGCUUCCUCUCAAAACCAAAAGAACGUCUCUGCAAUUCAACCCAUCUUAGUUCUAGACAACUCUACCAAGAACGGGACGACAAAAUCCCAGGGAAAAGUUCGCCAGACAGUUGGCUCCAAGGUUGUUGCCUCACCAGGGACUCCUCGACGACUAGGGGAUGGAUCAGCCAUGGGUCAAAAACCACAGGCACAACCUCUGCCUGAAUGGAUUAAAGGAAAUGGUCUAUAUGAGACUGUCGACUUGGCUGAAAUGUUGCGACUGCACUCACAAGAUUGGUUCUUGAAAUUUGUGGAGAGGUUCCUGGAUGCAGAUGUGGACACUUCAGCUCUGUCAGAUAAUGGUCAAAUAUCAGGAAUGUUAACUCAGCUCAAGAGUGUGAACGAUUGGUUGGAUAGUAUUGGUUCUAAUACAGAUGCAGAAGAAGCAACUGCAGUUUCCGAAGAGACCAUUGAUAGGCUAAGGAAGAAGAUCUACGAGUAUCUUCUUACACAUGUUGAAUCUGCUGCUGCGGCACUUGGUGGUGGAGCACAGGCAUCACCGCGACUUCCACCUACAGAUACAAAUGUUAGAAAAUGAAUAAAUUAUAUACUGCACUGUAAUUUGGUACUGCUGAGUUUUAGUGUCCUGCAUUUGCCUUGAUGCAGUACCUAUCCUCGAAGCUGAGCCCUUAAACCACCAAGUGGUCCUAGGAGCUCGGCUCGAAUGUGUACAUAGUUCACAUGGGUCCGGGGAGGUAUAGAUGGAAUGGGGGUUAGUUAGAAGAGAGAAUUUGAGUGGAAAGUGCUAGAUAUUGUUUCUUCUUCUUUUGAAUCUUUUGAUACAGCUUGUUUCAUGAGAUGGGUGACAGAAAAUUGAAAUAGUUUGGGGAGUUGGAAGUUGAAAUUUCUUCUUAUAUAUUGUGAGUAAUGAAUCGUUACUAAUGAUAUGAUUGUUGAGCUUCUUAGAGGGUGGAGUGACCUCCAAAACGGCAUGAGAAAUGUUACCGCACUUAUUGGUCAAAAAAGUUACCGUUGCGACUUGAAACCCUAGGCCUCACAUUUUUUUCUGGACUGAAGUGUGGCUACAGAAGUGUGAUUGAUAAGUGAGACGUGACACUUGCCAACUCCCCUAAACUUCUAUACACAAAUGUUUCUUGGAAGACAAAUUAUUUUAAAAAACAGGUACAUAAUUCAGUAUUAUUUUGUACAUUGAAGGUUUUGAGUUCGACUCACGAAAAUACAUGUCGUAACAUUUAAGCUAGAUAUCAAAAAAGACGCGGAAUAAUGUCAAGUGGAGAAAAUAUUCAAAUGAGUACCUCUAAACAGAAAAUCUGAUGAACACUUUUGAAUCACGGUUAUAGUAAAACCUAAGAAAACAAGGUUGCGGUUAAUUUUGGAAAAUACGCGAAAGAUAGAAAUGGGAUCACAUCAAACUCGGUGAAUAUAAAUAGCGGAGCUCACUCUCAGAAAAAGAGAAUGAAAAUUUGCCCAGGGUGAGUGCAAGUCAGAGAGUCUCUGAGAAUUGAGAGAGCCAACGAUGAAGCUUCUCGAACCUCUUCUUCUUCUGCUGCUGCUGCUGCUUCCGCUUAUAUCCCUCCACUUCCGCCUCGCCGUCGCCGAAGUCUUCUUCGAAGAGCGAUUCGAAGGUAAACAAGUCAAAAACAGUAAAACGCUCUCUCUCUCGCUCUAGAAUCUUCUUCUGCCGUUUCGGAUCAGAUUGUUGUAGAUUGCUUAGAUUCGGUUGUUGCUUUGCUUAAUUAGUUGCCAAACGAGUGAGAUUUCGAGUUUGUGUGAGUAUUUAGUGAAAUUAAUAGUGUAUGAUUUUUGUUGAGCUAGGAAAUUGUUGAGUUUGAGUAGUGUGACUUAGUUGAGGGAGAGGUUUUGUGUGUGUUGCGGCGCAGAUGAGUUGUUGUCUUUGAAGCUAGGGAUUUAGCAUUGGUUUUGUUUUCGAGUUUGUGAUGAAUUGUGAUUUGUGUUGAUUUUUGUGUGGAGAAUAGAAGGAUGGAAGAGCCGGUGGGUUUUGUCAGACUGGAAGAGGGCCGAAGGGAAAGCGGGGACGUUUAAGCACACUGCAGGGAAAUGGUCUGGAGAUCCUGAUGAUAAAGGUAAUGCUAAGCACACACUUGCUUAUUUAGCUACUUUUCCAAACAUUUUUAACUGAUUUGUGCUUUUUGAUGAUUGACAAUACUGUUGAAAUGAUUAUUUAUGUGUUUUUUUUUUUUAUUAUGAUUGGUUGGUUGAUUUUGUUUCUCAAUUAAACUUUAUUUUUUGUUCGAAUUGAUUUAUUGGUUGGUGCGACUUACAGUACUAUAUGAUUUCUGAAUGAUCAUCUUAGUAUAAUUGAUAUGUUUUUACUGGUCAAUGUAAAGUUGUUACGCUAAGUUUAGUACAAUUUCAGUCCUUAUCUCAUCAGUUGAUUUGUUUUAAUCAGUUGAUCUUAAGUGCAUGUUAUUGACAUGAGAGCACCUGUGAAAACUAAGGCAUGAGGAAAGCAUCCAAACUGAUCGGAUAGGUUAUUCUGACUCUGAGUCUUUCAGUUGGGCCUUGAGUUGAACCUUGGGCUAUUCUCUAGUCUUUAAAAUCUUCAUUAUCAUAGCAUCAGUUUACGCACAAAUACAUGUUGGUAGGAGUAAUAUAAGAGCAAGUAAAAGGAGGACCUCUUAUAAAGAAGCAUAAAAUGUAGAGUCUAAUUAUGAAGAAACAGUGAAUUGACCUCUUAAUUAUGUAGAGUCUACUGAUAUUUUCUUCUUCCUAUGGUUUUUACAAGGUUCUGAUGUCAUAACAAAUAUAAUUGUUAAAGGAUCCUGCUUUCAAGGGGUCAGCACUGUUCGCCUUAACUAAAAAUUGGCAUAAACUAUACCAGAUAUUUUUUUUUUUUCUUUCUAGAAUCUGUAUGAGAAACUUUUUGCCAAACAAGAAUAAACGUAAAUUAUGUACAGCAAGAAAUCUAUCACGCAGAGGUAGCGAUAAUCAACAUGUAGAUUGUAAAAUUGAUGAUAAUUAAUCUUUCAUGAUCAAAAUGUAAUGGUUUUUCUUUCUCAUUGGGAGCCAUUAAUCCCCUUAGAUAUGACUGAGCUAUAGCAUCCUUUAUAAAAUUUAUGCAGGCAUUCAGACAUAUAAUGAUGCCAAGCAUUAUGCCAUAUCUGCAAAAAUUCCUGAGUUCAGCAACAAAAACAAAACUCUAGUGAUCCAGUAUUCGAUUAAAUUUGAGCAAGACAUUGAAUGUGGUGGUGGCUACAUCAAGCUUCUAUCUGGCUAUGUGAAUCAGAAGAAGUUCGGCGGUGAUACCCCAUACAGGUUUGUGAAUUACUACAUUGUGUCGCCACACAGACACACAGAUGUACUUAUUUGCAUAAUUCUUUUGUCAAUCUGAGGACUCUUAUAUUGCUCAAGCAUCUAUUCUGAAAAAUAUUGCUCCAAGCUGUGUUCUGUGUGAUUAUUGUGUUUGACCUAUUCACUCGUAUACUCAUUCAUCCUUUAUUGUUUAUAGGGUAAUGACUUAAUGAUUCCAUAUAUGGUAAAAUUUUGUUAGUUUUAGUUUGUUUCUGAUACACUAGUUGAGUGAACAAUUUUUGGAGUUGGAUAAUGCCCCGGGAUGCAUGUCUCUUUUAUGGCCUGGAUGAGUACUCCAAUAAUAAUACUCAUAUGCUCGUUAUUAUAUAAUGAUUCCAUAUGUGAUAGUCUGUUUCUGAUACAUUCGUGGAGUGAACAAGUUGUAUUUCAUGGCCAGCUAACUUGAUACCUUGUCAAAGGCACUCAGUAAAUCUUGUUGGACUUAGAUUCUUUAAGUCAGUAUAAGUGAGCAAUAAAUAGUUAUUAUAAGUAGUAUGUUUCAACAAGGUCUUGCUAGAAUACGGGGCAGAGAAAAGUAAUGCAGGCCGACUAGGUUAGGAAGACUUAAGAACUGAAUGUUUAGGCUUUCUUAAAUAGUGUUGAGUUCAUCUUGAAGUUUCUACCAAUUAACAAGUCAUCUUGAAGUUGUUUUACUUUUUCUUUUGCUAGUUUGCCUAUAUGAAAUUCACAUAGUUCUAUUCGGCUAGCUUGCCUGCUGUGUAAUUUUUUUCAAUUGUCAUGGCUCUUACUUCACAUUAUUGUUUUGCAGUUUCAUGUUUGGACCAGAUCUAUGUGGCUCACAGACCAAAAAACUCCAUCUUAUACUUUCUUACCAGGGGCAGAAUUAUCCCAUAAAAAAGGAUCUUCAAUGUGAAACAGACAAGUUAACUCAUUUCUAUACAUUUAUUCUUAGACCUGAUGCAACUUACAGUGUCCUUGUUGAUAAUCGAGAAAGAGAUUCUGGAAGCAUGUAUACUGAUUGGGAUAUACUUCCUCCACGGAAAAUCAAGGAUGUCAAUGCAAGAAAGGUAUUGUCUAAUAUCUAAAUUGCAGAAAUAAUUAAUAAUUGCAGAAAUAAUUUGAACUUUUAAGAGUUGAGAAGUGCUUUGUCUGGAAGUUAAAUUAUAAUCAGUAGUAUGUGAUCUUGUAGAACCCUUUGGUAGAUUUUUGCUUAUCCAUCAAUAGGUCUCUCAAAAGUUAGUACUUUGUCCCCAUCAUACCUCAAUCUACCUCUUCAUGUCACAAAUUUAUAUAUUUACUACUGCUGUCCUGACAGCCAUCAGACUGGGAUGACAGAGAUUACAUUGAGGACGUCAAAGCUGCCAAACCAGAGGUAUUAUACUCUGCUCAGUAAUACGUUUCAUGUAAUCAUUUCACAUAAUUUACAGUCAUUUUAUCUCUUUUAAUGUUGUAGGGAUAUGAUUCAGUUCCAUCAGAAAUUCCUGAUCCAAAGGCCAAAGAGGUUUGUUGAUAUCUAUUUAUAAUUGCAUUGCAUGAGUUGUGACUGCUGUCUAUUUCGUGGGUUAGUGCAAACCAAUUUCUGGAAGGAAAGAUAUCUUUUGUCAUGCAUAAUGGGGAAAAUCUGUUAUUAUUAGUUGCUAGGAUUUAGUGGGAAAUGGAUUUUGUCUAUACUACUUUUCACGAAUGACUUAGAUAUUAGUGUAAACUUAUUGGAUGACAAGUUAUCUGAAAGAAACGCUGAUGGCUUGAUAGCCAGAGGACUGGGAUGAGGAAGAGAACGGGUUAUGGAGACCACCAAAGAUCCCAAAUCCAGCUUACAAGGGGCCAUGGAAGCGUAAGGUGAUCUCAUACAAAAUAUUUAUUUGAUUGAUAAUCAUUGUUGAUGCAGCUGCUAAGAUUUAAUUAAAUGAUGUGAUGCAGAAAAUCAAGAACCCCAACUAUAAGGGGAAGUGGAAGACUCCGUGGAUUGAUAACCCAGGUAUGUUCAUGAGCUUCAGACGGUUUGUGUGUGACACAAAAGAAGGAAAGAAAUAAAACAAUUUUAUAUUGGAGAUCUUGAAUUGGAUGCUCUCAAGUCAUGACUUGAUUGUCCCAUAUGGUCAACCUAAUUGAUCAUUCAAUUUCCAAUGGCUCCUGAUUUUGAGUGCAAGGCUACCAUAGAAACUAUGUAGCCCAGUAACAUCUACAAUCCUCCUGUUGAGUCUACUUGUUAUAUUAAAAGGAUUUUGAGUGUUGUUGACAUAGUUUGACAUGAGUUGACUGUCCCAUAGCCUUUUGGGUCUACUUAUUUAAAGUGUUUGAAACGGCUUUCUACAUAGAAGAUGUCCAGACAUGAAGAUGUCUAUUUAUUUUAUCUGAAGAACUCUAAUUUCCUGUUGGCAUAGAUUUUUUUUUUUUUGGAAAGGGCAGAUUGUUUCUUUGACAAAUAUCAGUUUGUCUGUGUGUUAAUGGUGUGUUUGUGUGUGCUUAAGCAUGUGGAGUUAAACUUCUGUCCAGCUUAGCAAGUUUUCUAAACAUAUAGCUUCGAAUAUUUCCUGAAUUCUUGCAGAGUUUGAGGAUGAUCCUGACCUUUAUGUGCUGAAGCCAAUAAAAUAUGUGGGCAUUGAAGUUUGGCAGGUAGGUGUCAUCAGUUAACAUCGCUACCAGGAUUCAAUUAAUGAGAAUAAAGUUGGAAUAUCUACACUGAUAGACAGAAAAUGAUUUUCUUAUGACAAAAAUUGGAAUUAAAAGCUUGCUCUUAUCCUUUCUGGAAUGUUGAGCCUCAUCAAAUGUGUUGCAGGUAAAAGCUGGUUCAGUUUUCGACAACAUUUUGAUUUGUGAUGAUCCACAGUAUGCAAAACAAGUGGUAGAAGAGAUAUUUUCCAAUAGAGAGGUAAGUUGUUACUUCUAAUGUUUAUAUUUGUCAUUUAUCUCAGUUAAAAUGUCAAACUUCUGUAACUAUCUGCAUAAUUUUAGGCUGAAAAAGAAGCUUUUGAGGAAGCAGAGAAGGAGAGAAGAGCACGAGAAGAAGAGGUGAAUUACAGGAAUUUCUUCUCUAGUACCACUGUAGUCGGGCACUAAUCCUUCUGAUUGAUAUGGAUCUGAUUUGAUUGCUUGUGUAGGAUGCUAGAAGAGCAAGAGAGGAAGGUGAAAGGAAGAAGAGGGAGAGGGAUCGUAAGUAUGGAGAUAGGAGGCGCCGUAGAAAGGUAUUGUAUUCCUUGAUUUUGUUUCAUUUCUGAUACUUGAUGUGUCGCUUGUCUCAGUAUUACGUGUUUAAAAAGGACUCUGUGCUUUCACCCCAAAGAACUUAUAAAAAGGAUUCCAUGCUGUUAACUCUUUCACCCCAAAGAACAUAUAAAAAGGAUUCCAUGCUGUUAACUCUUUUUAGGUUGGCAAGGAUUGAUUGAUUAAUUAUGAAUGUUUUCAGAAGCACAUCUUCCUACAUCAUCAUAAUGGUAGUGACUGAAUUUUGACUUACAUUAUCCCUGCCUGAGACAACCAAGAUUCUAAAGAUACAGAACAUGCAGGUAAUACAGUAGACGUAUGGCUUACAUCCCUGCACAGAGGAAUAUGUCAAUAGGAAUCCCUAAUGAGUAGGGGAAAAAGGUCUUAUGGUUGUACUUUUGUUUUUUUUUUUUUUUUUUUUUUUUUUCCUUCUGGUGAUGCAUGGUUGUCUAAAUGGUCAUAUAUAUCCAAGGAAAAAAAUAAAAAAUAAAAUAAAAAAAGAUGAACCCUAAUUAGCAAGGUAUAUACCUACAAGUCCUCAAAAGGUCGCAAUAUACUUUAGAUAGUACACACCGGUCACCAGACAGGAUGGAUGUUAAGUUGCAAGUUGAUCAUCUCACAUUUGGAUGUGAUGCAAAGUUAGAUUGUGUUUAUUACAGAUUUGUGAUAAAUAGAUAUAAUGGCCACUGAGAGUCUAAUUUGAAAUCUUUGUUCUCUUUUGCAGCAUGAUCCACGUGAUUAUUUGGAUGAUUACCAUGUAAGGAGGAUUAACUUUUUGCUUUAUUUCCCUUCUCUUUUCAUUAUUUAGUAGUGUCAUAGUAAUUCUAUAUCUGGUAUCAAACACAGUAAGUGGAACCUUUAGGAAAUGGUAUUCCAAAAUUGCAUGUAAAAGUCCUUCACCAUGAACAUUACUGGUGCACUUUUAUAGUACAUGUGCAAUUUAAGCAGUAUGCAACCUAUCAAAAGGAUACAAAAAGAAAUGUGUUUAGGUACCUUUUUCCAUAUUACCAUCCACUCACUGAAGAAUAUUAUUCAAGCUCCCAUCAUCAUUGUUUUACCGUGUCCUGGUGGCAACAGUGAUCUUGAGCUCCUUAAUGCUGCAUUUUAACUAUGACCUAAAGAUAUACAUAACAUGUUUAAAGCUUGCUGCUAAUUUCUAUACUGAUCACAAGAUAUUCUGAGUUUUUUUUUUAAAUUUAAUUUUUCUUGACUCGCAGGAUGAACUAUGACACGUCAAACUGAUGUUUCAAUCCAUAUUACACCGCAGCAAAAGCAUUCCCCAUUAUUAAUCGAGAGGCGUGUUUACUGUCCAAGUUAAGGACGUGCUAUGGAUGUUAUUCAAGCAUUGUUAGACCAUGGGAUGAGAACUGUAGCUUUAUGUAGUUCUUAGGGACCAAAACAAUCUCUCAUGGUGAAUACAAGGAAGUUACGAUUUUUGUAUUCUAUGGCACAAUUUCAUCAGACUUGAAUCGAACUUGGUUUUUGUCACCAGAAUGCAUUCACUUUUUGUUUUGCUUUCUACAUCAUCUGCGAUCUUAAUUUCUUGCUUUUUGUUUAUGAAGGGGAAUGGUUAAUUUGUUUCUUGGCACCAUGAAUGCAUGAAUGAUCAGAACCCUCUAAAGAUACAAAAUCCAGCUUCGGAUCUUAGUUGAACAGACUUAUAUAUGUCUACAUACAACUACAAUCCAAGCUGGAAGCUACUCUGCUUAUAUUCUUGUUGGGAUUAAACACAGAUUGUAGGGCAGAAUUAUAUAGAUUGUAGGGCAGAAUUAAAGCAUUGAGUCGAACUUCUUGAGUAGCUUCCCAGCACAGCAGCACCUAUCAUUACAUCAUUUCUGCUGUUCAACGCGAGUUGAGACUGAGUUUUGUUUUCGCCAUGAUAACACUAGACAAAGCUUGAGAGGAAGCAAACGACCGAACAGACCGAUCUGCUGCGCCGAUAUCAUGCAUGUCUAGAAUGGAAACCACUGAUUUUGUUGUCCCAACAGUAUCCGAAACUCGGAAAGCGCUUUCAUCACUUGUAAAUGCACUGCAGAACCGGCUGUAACAGUGUUAUUUGUACGUCUCGUACUACUACAAAGACCUAUUGGGAGAAGCUUUCUUUAAGGGAUCAUCAGUGCUUGACAAUUUUAUUAUAUCUAAACAUGAGCACAUCUUCACUAGCCUGAGAAAUUAAUCAAAUUCAAUUCCCAGCCGCCGGGCCUAGCUAGUUUAGCUACUGUUUGGAGACACUUCACGUGAGUACUAUGUAACAAAAUCACCCUUUUAGUACAUGCCUCGAUUUGAUUUGAAGCUUGAAAGCUAGUAGUGGCUUCAUCCUCAGCUUCCAAUUCUGUUUAUGCUCCAUUAUUAAUUUAACUUGCUCAAUCAAAUCCUUCUUUUGUAGGCUUUUCUUUCUGCGCCCCUGUUUGUGUACGGCGCUUCUGAAUAUACUCUAGCAUAUAUAUAUGAAUAUAUGAAUUCAGACUAAAGAAAGAUUUUUAGAUUAUAUUGCAGCAACAUUGCAAGGAGACACUUUGCAAUGGUUAAAGCAAUGGGAAAAUUCACCAGAAGGGACAUUACAAAAAUUAUCUCUAUUAACAAAUUUUAAAGAUUUUGAUAAUAUACUUAAAAGCUUUGCACAAAUAAUAAAAGAACAUUUGUGUGGAGCAACAGAUGAAAAAAUCAUCCAUGAAGAUGCUGAAUAUAUAUUGUCAAAGAUAGAACUCUGCAAUAUAUGUCAGUUUGAAGAAUAUUCUCAGUUGUAUAAAAAAUACUACUUCAAAAUAAAACCAGAGUCAAGCCUACACUGGUUAAACCAAUUUUUUCAUAAACUCCCAAACCCAUGGGAUGAAUUAGCUAUAAAAGGUUAUCCUGAUUUUAUAACGAGAAUUAAUAAACAUGAUAAUCUAGGAUUCAGAAUAAAUUUUGUUUUAAGACUUAUCACUGAUAGAUGUGUAGAAGUCAGAGCUAAAAAACAGGUAAAAAACCAAAUUAGUAAUAAUCCCAGAGGAAGAAAAUGUUGUGACAAAUUACUUAGAGAAAAUUGGAAAAUUGGAAAAACCAGAGAUAGAGCAAUGGACAAUUAUUGGCUUUUUAAGGGUUUUAAAAUAGGCACUGGAAAUCACUUUUAGGAAAAUAUCGGUUCAAAUUAAAAGCAUUUAGUAUAAAGGAAAAGGAAGAAAUUCAGUUGUCUCAUCUGAUUGGGAAACCCCUUUCGAGGCUUUCUGGGUUCUUAAGUGGUUUUCUUUAUCAGAAUAGACAGCCACUUUGGACAAUCUUAAUCUUGCAAUGUUGAGUCAGCCCUUGGACAUAUCAAUCACGUUUCAACGACGAUGGAAAUGCAAUAGUUCAUAGCUUUAGUGGUAUAGAGCAUUUACAUUUGCGUCGCGUAUAAAACUAGAAAAUGAGAUCGAAUUCUUCAUAGGAGCAAAUAAUUUCAAUAAUUCACAAUUCCAAAGUACUCUCUGUACAAAUUAACAACUACUAGCAAUAAUUACACUUUGCCUUGGCUAUGGCUUAAUUAGCUAGCUAUAUAGUGACAUCUUACCAGAAAUGAAGACACUUGAAUUAGUGCUUCAUCCAUUAUAACCCUAAAGGCAAUUCAAAUAGCUCAACCUCAACUAACUAGCUUCUUUGCUUAGCUAAUAAUUCCCCUAUAAUUACGAAUAAACCCUUCAGGUUGAAGUGCUGCAAUGCUUACUAUAGUUUCUUGCACAGGAAGAGCACGAGUCGUCGUCUCCGACGAGCUACCGGCCGCCUGGCUGAAGCCAACGAUCUUCUGACAUGUCUCGAUCAAGCUCUGCCGGCAUUUAGGGCACGAAGAGUGAGAGCUCAGCCACUUAUCGAUGCACCUCACAUGGAAUCCAUGGUUACACUUGGGAAGUAGCCUCACGCGCUCGCCGGUUGUAAACUCCGACAAACAAAUCAUGCACUCACUGUCCAACCCGGGAAGCUUAAUCUCAGCUGAGUAGCUAAUGGUCGGAAAAGUCUUGAGGGCUUUCUUCUUGACUCCGGUGUUGGCCAGCCUCGCCGAGUUGUUGGAGGAAGAAGAGGACUCAGCGGCCACGAAGCUCGAGCAUCUCAGAGCGCACUUUAUGAUGGAGUUGAGCCCCAAAGAGCAAAUCAGAGCGCAGAGGAGGACUGAGAGCACCAUGACCACAUUAGCAUCGAAGCUGUUGUCACCGGGGUACUGAUCAGGAGAAGAAGAAGAUGCGUCGUGCGAGGUUGAAGAAGGAGAGAUGGGUGGAGGGUAAAGAGGGUUGUGGAGGAGUAGUCUUCUGGAGUAGAAGUCCCCAACAAGAUGGUCAAGUUGGUGAGAAGCAAAAGCAGAAGCAGAAGCAGGCAUGUUCAGUUUUGGGAAGAAGUUGAAGUUGAAGUUGAAGUUGAAGUUGGUGGUCGGUGUGAGCUCAAGAAGGGAUUAAUGGUAGCAGAAGCUGAAGAAGGGGGUUUAUAUAUACGAAAAAGUUCAAAUUUUCAAUUGCUUUUUUCAUUUCUAAGUGUACAGGAUUACUGUAACAUAGUUGAGAUUUGAGAAUAUUCUGAGGAGGUUUGAGGCAGCAUUAUAGAAGAAGGUUUUAUUUUAAGGAGAUAAUAGAGAUUUUUGAAAACCCUGUGGAUACUCCACUGAGGAGCUAGCCUCUUGGUAGUAUUAAUGGUUUCUAAUCAAGGUGGGGGAGCCUGACUCCCACCUUGAGGCCAGUUGAGAAUCACAGGUGGCACCUUUUCUGGGUGAUUGAAUUAUAUCUGGGAAUCGUUUUUAGGGCAAGAAAAGGAAGGAAGGGGCCAAGAAGCUUCGCGGGAGAAAUAUAUAAGCAUUCAAUAUUAGUAGGGUUUAAGGAUGAUUCUCAAUUAGGAGUUGGAGUUUGUUAGUUGGAGAUAAAUGUGCCAAUUAACUAAUUAUUUAUUUUACUUUUUAAAUAAUUAGUAAGUUUUUUUUUAUUUUUUUUUUUUUUUUAAAAAGAGUAAACCCUAGCCUAAAUUUUAUAUAGGUGGCGAACCUAAUUCUUUCAAGCAACAUGAGGUUAUUUUUUUUUCUUAACAAGUGGAUGGUUGUAAUAAUGUUGGAUUAUAUAAUAUAUAAUGUUUUCUUCGAAAAAGAACUAGCGAAAAUGGUAUAUAAGUGACAUAUAUACUAUACCUACAGUACUAGAUAUGCAAAAUAGCUCUUCCAAAUUAAGAUUUAAGAUUAAGCUUAUGAGAUCAAAUCUUUGUUAUAUCUAAAGAGGUCUGGAAUCUGGAUUAUUGGUAGAGAAACAUCUGAUUCAGAGGAGAUCGAUCAAUAAAUUCAAAUCGAACUUGCAAUACUGUCUCAUAUCUAGAGUGAGAAUAACAAAAAUGGUUUAUGUGAUUACUUAUGAUCGUAAUGAAAUUAUAUGUACGUAGUUUCACAGAUCUUGCAUGAGCCCCAGUGAGGAUAUAUAGUACGGCUUGCCGCCAUUUUUACUCUAGCUAGCUAGCUAGAACACCAACUUCUAAUCUAAGCUUAUUCCAUGAUACAAUAUAUUACAGUUGAGAUUUGAAUCCAGUGAUUCAUAGAGUGUUAACUUUUCCCCACCGGCCAGUCCACCACCCCACAAAAUUUUAGUGUUUGGACUUGAUUAAAAAGUUCCAAGUAUGGAUGUUUAUAACUAAAUUAGGGCUAAAUUAACGUGUAAAAGAGUGAAAGUUUGGGAGGUUAAUUUUGAGGUGGAAAUAAAGGAAGAUAGAGCUAAAAGUAUGAUCAUAUAUAUAAAUAUAUAUAUAUAUAUAUUUUGAUUUUAAAAGAAAAUGAGAUCGAGAAUUUUAUUAGAAAAAAAAAAAAAGAAUUGAGUCGAUCGAUCAUUAAGGUUAUCCUAAUUACCACCAUGGGAUAAAACGACCUAAACUCAUAUGUUCACUCAAAUACCAUUCCCUUAAUUUUGAAUCUAAUUAAACUUAUGCCCCUUAUUCACUUGUUGUCUUUUUUUUUUUUAAUUCAAGAUUGCGGUAUCUCAAGGGCUUCCUAGGCCUAAAGACUAAUCCAUUGGGGACCCGGACAGCCAACAGGGCAUUGCAUUUUGACAGUGUCAUGAUUCAAAUAUAGGUUGGGAAGCACACCCAACUAAACAAGAACCACUAAACUACUUUGCGAUGGUUCUUCAAUUUCAAUUGUUGCUCUUAGAUCAAUGUCCAAAACAUAAACAGGUCUGAACUCUAGUGGCUCGAUAUAUGAUAAUAUGUUGGGAGAUGAAUAUUACACUGGAAUUAUGGAGAAAUGGUCAACGACUAAUUUAUUUUGAAUAGCUUACUUUGAUAAGCAAGAUUUUGGGUUGGUCGUGCUGACUCGUUUGUCAUAAUAUUGCAAAAUGGAAUGAUCUUUGUAGUUUAAUAUAUAAUCAGAUUCUCAUAAUAGAGCGCACUACCAAUCAGGAAAACGUGGUACUCACCGUCACUGUGAUCUUAAAUCCUCCCAAUAUCUCAUCGUACUUAUCACCAUUUGGCAUUUGCAAAUGUCUCGCUCACCAUUUGUCACCGAUACAACAUUCAUCCAAAUUUUCUGAUUUUUAAAUAGUGGUCGGGUGAGACUAUCACUCCGAGGUCGGGAGCAACAUGGGUAUGUCCCCAUAGGGUGUUUUUCACUUGCGGAAGAUCGAACCAGUGACCUCUUAUUACCAAAAGUAUCACUGUAACAUUCGCCCAACAAACAGACCCAGCAUACAUGCUUACCACUGGACCAAACCCCAUGGGUACAUUCAUCCAAAUUUUCGCUUCAAAUUUAACGGUGUUCUAUGGAAUAAUGUGAUUAUAUAUAUAUAUAUAUAAGUUCAUCGAUAAAGUGCAGAUUUGCAAACACAACUAAAAUCAAGAAACGUAGAUAUAUGUUCUGCAGAAUCAUUCAACCCCUUAAAGAGUUAAACGAUGCGAUAAUUUUAAUUACAAGUUCAUAUGCACGGUCUGCUCCAUAACAGGUUCUGAGUUUUAUUGAAACUAUAUAUAUAUAUAGCUAGCCCUGAAGAUAUUGAAGCUUAUUACUUAUAUCCAUGAAAAUCUAUAUAACAGCACUCGAUCGAUCGUUAGCAAACAAAUUUCAUAAGUACAUAUAUUAAUCAAAGAAAUCAACUACAGAUUCACGUACGUAUCAAUACGUACAUCAAUAAGAAUCAACUUUUUAAAACACUAAUAUCUAGUACACAAUUAUGCAAUACUAUGAAGAGGCAGAGCAGGAGAUAAGAUACGGAGAGGGUCCCUGCGGAUCUUACCCUUUUGCUUUCAACCUGCAAUGAAAUCAAGAAUGAUCUUUUGGCCAUGCAAGUAGCUAGAUUGUAAUCUCAAAGGGGUUUAAUUUAGUGCAAGCUAGGUCUUCACUUUGUGGCUCCUAACUAAAGCAAACAUUAGUAAAAUUAUCUGCUACUUAAUUCAUGUAUAAUUACAAGUUGCACCUACUUUAAAGUGUCAUUAUAUUAGAAUUAACAGAUAGGUAAUGGAACUUUUGGCCAACAACUUGGUUAUCUAGCCAACUUAAUUUCGUGAUCGGGGAAAUGGACACACGAAAGGUUAGUGUACAUCGGUCUCUCGCAAUUUCCAAACUCAUAUAAUCGAUCGAGGAGGGAGUACGUUUUGAAGUACUCUAGGAAAAGAAAAGGCUCGAGUCUUUGCAAUCCCAUAUAUUUUUGAUCGAAGUCAUCAGGAUAGAAUCGGGCGUAGUCGAUCAUGUCUCACCAUUGUAUCGGAUGUUAAGUUUUUCUACAUCAUGAGUCAAACAUAUAUUGAUCGUAUGAGUCUUCGAUCUGUAGGUGUCGAGUUUUUUAUUGUACCACAAUUGCGUACUUAAUUGACAACUGACAAGGAUCAUACGUACCUGCUUAAAUGUGAGCGUACAAGUUUUUCUAAUACAUAGUUUAUUGUUGCUAGCUUAUUAAAUUUUGGUAUAUCUGAUUUUUUUUAUAAGCCAGGUAGAUUGUAGCUAUUUCGCUAUUGAUUUAAUGAUAUGAACUAUUAAUUUAAUGAUGUGAUCAUUGUUGCAUCAGACAACGUAAUUUGUAAUUAUUUUCACUAAAACACCUCAUAGACUCAAACUAAGGCAGGUAACCUAGUUAUCUAAGCCAAUCUAGUUGAUAUUUCAUCUUUUGAUUAAUUCCCAUGUAUGAAAGUAUUUUAUCGCUUCGGGCUCUUCUGAUCUACUCUUUUCAUGAAAUCAUUUUACUUCGCUAAUGAAAAGUUUACAAAUCUACAAAUCUGUCUCCUCUAAUGUCUCAUAUACAGUUGUCCCUGCGUGUUCUAUAUAUACUGGUGCAACGAAUCGGUGGUCUAACAGUUACCAAUUUUGGUUAAAUAAGAAAUAAAGUACCAUGCUAGCUUAUGUGUUGGGAAUUUAGGAUAUUGUAAACUUAAGACACAAUACAAUAUAUAGCUGCCAAAUAGAGAGGAGGGGAUACUUUUUUUUUAAAAAAAAUUUUUAUUAAAUAACUCACACACCCUACAUAUGUCAAUGAGGUUUGAACUCAUGAUCUCAAAGUUGUUAGUUAACACCUUAACCAACCAGGCCACGGCUCACCGACAAGAGAAGGGGAUACUUGUUUGUGCUUUGCUUUUAAUUUCUAUAUAUGCUUCUGUCGUUUUAGAGUAGGAAGCGAUCAAAUUAAGAUAGGCUAAGCUUAAAGGACAUGUGUAUUGGGUUUUGUGUUCUCCUACUACAGGUACCACUACUACUUGGAUCAAUCUAUAUCGAUCUUUUUCUUCGAAUGAAGUUUGGAUCUAUAUCUUGGUGGGUUGGAUUUCACUAGGUUUGUUGUUGUUGCUCUUGGGGACCCAGAAAGAAAGAGAUAAGUGUAUUUAUCUCCUCCUUCACUUUAAUCUUGUUAACAGAUCGAAUUUGUGGCAUGUGCCUAGUGCUGAUUGAGAGCAUUCAUCCAUGGAGGUUUUUUUUUUCAAUCAUUUCAAUUGAAUGGGGAAAAAAGUGUCAAGAAAGGGUCCUCUACCUUUGCAUUCUAAUAAAGUUGAAUUUAGAUACCGCUCCAUAUUAAGUGUUCUAGCUCCAACUCACACAUUCUCUUUUAAAAAGCCUAACCAAUCUCUACUUUUAUAGAUAGUGAGCACAUGUAAUUGUUAGAACUAGCACAUGCAAUUGUUUGUUUGGUUAUCUUGUAAAGAAAACAAAAUCAAAUCAAAACAGUCGUUUAAAGAUUAUUAUGAUCACUAGCUAUGAACGACCAACAAUAUUAAUUUGUGUAGGUUUAUAUAUAUAUGCUUUCUAAUUAGGAAUGUGAAGGCAGAAGUCCGAUCAUAUAUGAUCAUGAGUCUAUGUUUAUGGAUUUGAUUUUUCACAAAAUCGAAUAAUGCCCUUUCGUUUUUCACAUAUAUGCAAUUACAUAACUGAUAUCUAGCUAGUGACGUAAUAAUAAUUAAAAUCAUGAAACUAGUGCUCUUUAUUACAAGAUGCGAAUGAGGUUGCAUGGAAGUUAAUUUGGAACUUAAACUAGUAAUAUGGAUAUUUAACUACUUCUUUCUUUUUUUAGAAGGUCUUUAAUUACUCUACUUACUAGUAUGAUGCUGAUAUUAACAUAGGACUCGAUCAUUAGUUUUUAUGAAUUCAGAACAAGUUAUAUAUGUAACAUGAACUGAUAGAUUCGUUAAUGCCAAUAAUCUUCCUACUUCUUCGGUGUGGCGCGCAUAAUCUUCUGCCUUUUUCUGCUUCUUCAACCUUCCUUUUUGAUGAACUUCUUUUUGAUGAACUUGGUGGAGCUAGGCUAGGCUAGGCUGCGUGAGACUGUACGUGCGUGUGUCGUUCUGUGAUCCGAAUCGAUUAUAGUACGAAAAGUUACCAUAUUAGGAAAGAGAAAAACACCAAAAAUCAGGCUCCAAAAUCAUCUAAAACCUAAAACCAGGAUCGGAGCAUUAAUUAUAUAUAUGGGAUCACUGCAGCUGAUACCAAACUUAAGAAAGACAAAAAAAAUAUCCAUUCAAGCCCUUCUUAAUUCUGCCCGUUUUGCAAUGAUUUUGACGCAAAAUAAAACUCGAACUAAUCUUCACAUCUCUUAAUUUCCAACAUCUUCCUAUACGACUGCAAAUCCCACUAUACAAAUUAACCUCGAGUCCUUGACGGGUAUGUUUGCUGUGCAGCACGGCAUAUCAUACAUAUACUAAUAGAGGGUGGAUUGCAUGUGCUUUGCACGGGGCUGAUAUUAAGAAGUUGUCUCCGGAAAGAAGGCUACAUACCAGAACUUUCUACAUCAGAGAUUGGCGUAAUGCAUGUACGUAUAGAAAACAUCCAAUAUUAGUUAAGAGCCUCUACUUUUGGAUAACUGUUUUGUUUUUUCAUUACAGGUAUAUGAGUGGUUGAGACUAUAAUGAAAGCAUAACAAAACUCUAGAUUCUAGAAGAUAGACCUAUCCAACAUCCACAACAUUUCAGAUCCUUUUGAAACAAAAGAUUGAGUACUAGUAGAUGUAACUGCAUCGAUCAAGACAGAGAAAAUAUGAAUAUUAAUAAAAAAAAAAAAGAAGGUUAAAAGAAAUGAAGUAUGAGUAUGAGGAUUGAGGAUCAAGGAAGGUCGACAAAUAAAACAGACACACACUAUGGGCUUCGAUGUUGGGAUUGAAAAUAAUUGAAGUUUGAAUCGUGUAUGCACCCAAACAACUAGUCAGUGCACCCAGCACACUAUCAUGUCCAAGUCCAACGUAGUAUCUGGGCAUGCCUCACUUUUUCUUGUUCUCCGUCUUUUCUGGCCUUUUGAUCACAAAGAAUUUAGGGUACAACAGAGCAAGUAACAAAGGAAUUUCUGAAUGAGGUCAUUCAUUUUAAUUCUACUACAUUAGUGACUGGCAAAUACCUAACCAGCUGGUAGUUUGUCAUCCUUCGUAGUCAGUAGAGUUAAAGUAUUUUGAAUUUUGGUUUCAAGUCUCAUAUGGUAAGUGAUGCUUUCGUUUUAAUUUCUUCUUUUGUCUCUCUUCUUAUUUCAUCGAUCACUACGAAUGGUGCAAGUAACACGAGGACCUGUCAAAGAGAUCAUUCAGCCCCUUGAGAAGAAUUUACCAAAUUACAGAAAGCUAGUUAAGCUUCUAGUUUCCUGCAUGUAUGGGGCAAUCACUGAGCUGAUGAACGGUGACGGCCGCUUUUUUCUUUUUCUUUUUCUUUUUAUGCACAUUCUUCGUUCAUAACUUCAUAUACUUGCAGUGCAUGAUUAUAAGUAAAAGCAAUGAGAGAAUUAAUGGAAAUAUUAAUGCUUUAGUACUGGGUAGCUGAAGAGUAUUUUAUAUGGGUUGGCUGUUAGUAAUAGAGAAGCAGAGGCCUAAAGACUUCAUGUGGAUAGUUAAAUUUCUGAGCCACAAAUCCAAUCCAAGUUACAGUAUCAUCAAGUCCUUUAAGAAAAUGGGAUCGGAGUUUAGGGUAAGCAAGUUUGGUGGUCCAGAAAUGGGUAACUGAAGAGUAAAGGUAAAGCUUACAGAUAGGUCCAGUUUAAUUUGUAGGUUAUUCAGUGAUUCAUUUCGUAGCUGUGUUUCAAUUAUGGCUGAACUUCCACCACUAGUAGUUAGUCCUUCUUUGAUUGGGAAAGCUGUGGCUUGUACUUCUGAGAUGGUUGAAUGGUGGAUUAUACACGCUGACAUAUAUAUUGAAUGACAGCGUGCGUGCUCAUCAAACUUGGCAUGUAUUGAUCUAUUCUGAUGCAUUUUCAUCUCAAUCAGCACUCAACAGGCUAGGCUGGAGUCUGGAGAUGGUCAAGACUUUGCUCUGCAUAUGCAAGCUAUAUAUUCACAAAGACAAAUGUGACUUCAUAGUGUAGAUUGUAGAUUGUGCAAAUUAAAGUGCAGUGCAUGCAGGUUCUAGCAUUCAACAUUGAGAAAUAUAUAUUUUUUUCCUUAAGUUUAUAGGGGUUUAGGUCACCCUAGCUAAUAUGAAGUCAAAAACUACAACUUCUUUAUGUUACUCUAAAUGUAAGUACAGACAUAUAUAUAGGCAUUACCGUACACGGUACACCACACUCAUUACUCAUUAGGCUUUAGUACAUGACUAGUAUGUAGGAAAACGUACAUAUAUACAUACGGUUUCUAACAGACUUGUAGUACCAUUCAGUCAUUCGAAUUGAUAAAACUUUUGGGAGAUGCUAGGUUGCGGUUUAAUAACACUUGUAGGUACGCCAUGCGAUAAUCUACCUUUAGAUGAGGAUGAUCCGGAAACAAAGCGCACGAUAUUGGGUGCGCUGUGAACCCUAAUGUCGUCAGCUCCUCUGAUGGCACCAAUGUUAUUCAUGGGAUCGGGCUCUGCUUCAAGCUCAAGGGUGCAAUUGCAUGAGAACUUCAUAACAUGUUUCUAUGUUGCUAGAUCGGGGAUGCUAUUCAACUCUUCAGUACUAGCUAAGAGAGUUGCAGGGCUCGUUGAUGAAAGAGACAACAUCACGCCAUCGUCCGGCAAGUGAUUGUCCGUGCAUGAACUGCCAGCCUUUGAUACGUCGGUUAUGCCUUUGUUUGGGCAAUGCAAAGACAGGGGUAUGAAAGAGCGACCGAGCAUUCCCCAAAGAAGGUGCAUUCAAUUUAACAGUGGGCAAGCGUACUGUUCAACUAGAGCUGUCAUCUCUUGGCUUUGUUCCAUUGGAAACAAGUGAUCUGUUAAGAUGUGAAUCCCACACCGGAGUCCAAUGUUCACGUGACGACCACACGAACUCCACGUCACCCAAAUAUUGUCCGCGUGUAUGGCUUGAAAUCUUUUCACACGUGCGGAGGCGUGUUAAUAUAUAAAUCUUAUAGCGAGAAAAUGGGACAUUAUCUAUGAGUUUAUAAGUGUUGGGCCGCUCCAUCUAUUACCAAUUGGUUUUGGAUGCGAACCCCAGACUACUUCAUCAUGAUAUCAAAACGGGUUACCCAUGUGGCCACGUCCACGUAUGAAUGUCUAACGACCACACAAACUCCACGUCACCCAAAUGUUGUCCGUGUGUAUGGCUUGAAAAUUCGUCACACGUACUGUGACGUACAAGGGCGUGUUGAGAUAUGGAUCCCAGAUUGGGAAAAUAAGACUUUACCUAUGAGUUUAUAAGGGUUUGGGCCACUCCAUCAAUUACCGAUUGAGUUUUGGAUGUGAACCCCAAAUUACUUUAUCAUGAUCGAGUUAAAAAUAACCGUUUACUUAGUACCGACCUCAUUAUGAGAAUCUGUGCAUCCAUUCAAAUACUACCAUAGUAAAAUGGCUAGAGUCAUUAGAAUUGCAAGAUUCAACAAAUAUACUAUUCUUUCAAUAAAAUUAUAUGAAAACCAAACAACAUUUUAAAACAAAAUCAACAAUUGAUAUCUCAAGUUUCAAUCCAUCUAAUCUCGCAACAGUUUUUUUUUUUUUUUUUUUUUAAAAUUAUCUAACAACGUUUGUUAUCCCAAGUCGUUUUUACAUAGAACUGAGAUUUUUUUUUUUGAAAUAACGGAAAUAAAUCUAUUGAUGAUAAUCACACUACCGUACUAUGUUGAGCAUGGAUAAGUCCUAAGACAACUCGAUUACAAGGCCAUGCUCAGUUAUUCAAUACUACAUUCCUAAGAAAAUAAAAACAUAUCCAAAACAGUUAAUAUUUGAAGAAAUAGACACUACAAUUAAAAAAAAAUAGCUUACACAGCUAAUCAAAGGUACACCUACAUAUUUGUAAGGCUUAAAGACCGAAUGGUAUACAUGUCCACCGAUAUAUAGGGUAAUUUUCUCCAUUGAAGUUGUGUAAGGGUCUUCUCCUCCCUAACCUUAAGGGAUUGUGGUAUCCAGCCCCAAACGGACUCACAGAAUCCCAUCAAAGAUGUCCGCCCAAGUCAAGGAGAGGUGGGAAAGUGGCAAAGACCCAAAAGGCUCAACCAUGCCCACUGCCCUCAUUCAUGAGCCCUGACCAGUUCUUGCCGGAACCUUAACAAGGCCACCUGAGUUGGUAGCACACCCACUUAGGGCCAGUUUGGCUGUGCGUUUUGAGGCUAAUUUCUGCUUUUUUUUCACCGUUAUCACAUUUCUAUAUGUUUGGUAAACUUUUAAUUUAGCGUUUUUUUUUCCAAUUGCGUCCUGAAACCGCAAAAAUAGAAAGCAAGUGCUAACAUGCUUUUUUUGAUCGGCGUUCGCUGAACGCGAAGAGGGAAGCUGCCCCUUUAAUGACUUUCUCAACAUCCCUAAAACACCCUCAUUGGAUUUCCUAAGUGAUGCAUCAUGUCCCUUUCAUCUAGAUAUAUCUUUCUUCUCCUCUGUUCUUCUUCUCUGAGUAUUAAUUCUUCAUUCUCCAUGGACUUAAGGUGACUAAAAUUCUGCUAGGUAAUCUUGGGUAUCAGAGUCACAUGGCUAAUCUAAUAUAUGAUUAAUUGCCCACUCAAUUUUUUCUUUUUUGUUCUUCCCCUCACAGCCUCACCUUUUCAAGUUCCAAACUUUUUAUAGUUUAAUUUUGGGUAUGUUUAUCUUUAUUUAGUUUAAUCUUUCUGCAAUCGUAUCACAACCAUCACCUAUUUGCUUAAAUAUUGUUGGUCAGAUUCUGGGCUUUUUACUUAUGUAAUUUGAUUCAAUUUCUAUUUUGAUCUUACUGAGUCUUGUAAUUUGUAUUUCUGUGAUUCGGUUCUUGUUUUCCUGUCGAAUUCAUAUCUAUACGUUCAUUCAUACCGAGUCUCGCAAACAAGGCAUGCAAAUUUUUCUACAUCAGACGUAGUUGCUACUAAGUUCUAAUGCGUUUGAUAUUCAUAUUCAUUGUAGUGCUGAAGAAUUUGGGGUAGUUUGACAUGACUGUAUGAGUGUAGUAAUACAGUCACAAUAUUGCUCAUUUGACAUGAGAUCUAUCAUGCAUAAGAUUUACGUUCUGGGAAUAAAGUAGAGGUUUUUCUGAGAAUGAAAGCAAAGGUUAAUGGGACUGGUUUUAGUCUUUGUGUCUAUACUGGUCAUUAUACAAAAUUACCCUAGUUUUGCAAUGGGUUACCAAACAUCUCACUAUACGUUUUUUUAUCAAAAAAGUUAGAAAAGACUAAUUUAACAAACACUUAAUGGAUUAAUUUAAUCAUAGAUUAUUUUUACAGCUGUGAUUUUUUACAACUGAUUAUUUAGAUUUCAAUAUCAAACUGGGCCUUAGUCUGGCAGCCUGCUUAGGCGCAAGGCGCAACCCCACAAUAGCCAUCCCGACCUUUUAAGGUUUGCUAAUGUGGGUGCUGCAAUAGGGCCGAAUCUGAGAUUUAGGGAGUUCUAAGCAAAAAUAAAAAAAUUGGGGUCUCCUUUACUUAAAAUUAAACAUUCAAACCCUAUUGUCAAUCGAAAGGGAAAGCUCACUGCUCACAUAAUAAUCAGCAAAACAAACAUGUUUCAAAUUUUGAACAAUAAUACAAACCUAUUUAAGAUUUUGAGUAAUUGCACCUAUUUAGUUAUACAAUUUUCUAUAGUAUUAACUAUAAAAUUGUGAUAAGCCCAUAUAUUUAUCUUAAAGAAAAUGCGCGUGACUUUUGUCCGAAUCGAGCUCGGCUCAAAGACGACUCAGGCUGAAUAGGUGAGAUUACUAGGAGAUUUUGGGAUUGUGGGCAUAUACAGAGAUUGAGAAUGGUGGUAAAGGCUGAAAUGGGGAACCUUGCUAGAGGCAAGAUCCGAUCUGAUGCACAAAAGCUAGGCGUGGCCUAGCUUUUGACGACGACGGUGGAAGGAACACGCAAUGACAUUGUUGAUAGAGAUUGGGUGCACAGAUCAGUUGUUAGGCCCAACUCCAUUUGGGUUCACAAACCAAUUCAGAGGCCCAACUGGGUGGCCAACCCAACUACUUGGACUUGGGCUUAGUUUUGGGCAAAUCUGAUUGGCUCUAGCUUUUUUGGGUUUCGCAUUUGGGAUCCAAGUGACGUUAUCCAUCAAACUAUGGUUUGGUUUGACACCAUCAUAGCUAAGAUUACUAGUGAUAACAUGUUGAGUGUGCUCUUCUCUAGCACUCCUCCAAGCCAUGAUCCAAAUGACAAGGAUAAAAGGUAGUGUUGCUUCUGUGUUUGGUGUGUGAGCAUGUAGACCAGGAAGAUUAGCUAUAUCUAGAUGGUUUGUAUGUUGUUAGGAAUACUGUAAUUAAGCACCUCGGUUCUAACAAUAUGUUUUCCUAAUAUCUUUUUGUGUCUAGUAUCUCUGCUAUGCUCACUUAUAAGUGAGCUUCAGUUUUAAAUGUAAUGGUUCAGUAUAAUUAUUGAGGUUAUCAUACGUAGCAUUCUGGCGUCCGAUGCUUUCAUUCUGUUCAAAAAAAAAAAAUUGGUUGAUUUAACAGUAUGGACGAGACAGGUGAUUUGAAAUUCGAAGAAAAUUGGUGGCAAAGUCGCGUGUGUUUUAGUGCAAACCCCAAACACCCACCGUUACUCGCGAUGAAUAAUUGUCACGGUCACGGACAAACAGACCAAUACAAUACUCGAGAUUCUCAAAUGUGACGCGAACCGUGGGACCCUCCCCAAGCCGACUUGGCACUGAUCAUCCUGGCCCACAGAUCAGACGGCUGAGAUUGACUCCCGCAUAAACAUCCAUAACAUGGAAAAGGCUGUCAGCCAGGUCACUCUAUCUUUUCUGGUGGCCGAAAUGAUUCCUCCUCAGUCCUCACACACUAAUUUUAAUUCCUUUUUAUUUUUCAAUUUCAAAAAAUAAGAAAAAUAAUUAUUCGAAAAAUAAAUAAAUGAAAUUGUAAAUUUGGCCCGAAUUUCAUGUGCAUUUCGAAACCCCCGGCUAUAUAUAUAGGCCACUCUUGUUUCAAGCUCACCCUAAUUCUGCUCCACUUUCGAGUCCACUUAUCGUAGCCGUGAGGUCAGAGACAGCCAAGCCUUCGUCAGCAGAGGUCGGCUUGGUCCUUCUUCAUCGCCGUCCAAGUCUCCGAUCGUCUUCUUCUUCCUCUUUUCAAGGUAAUCGGAGCGGAUCUGUGUGCUUCUUUUCUGUUUAUGCAUCUUUUCUGUUGUUGAAUUCUGCUAGAGUUUGAAGUUUCUGGUUUGAAUUUGAGAGCGGAGAAGUAUAUGUGUUUGAUCUGGAAGAUUUUGUGAUGAUUCUGAGUGUGUGUGUGGUGCUUGGAGUUAGAUCUGGAAUUAGGUUUCAAUUUUAUUGACCGAUCGGUCUAUUUGAAUUAGAUUUUGGAGUUUUGGAUGUGUUGAGAUUGUUUGAUUGUCUGAUCUGGUUUUAGCUUGUUUGGAUCUAAUGCUUUGGAUCUGGUUUAUCAGUAAAUGAUUUAGAUCUGCUGCUUUCUUUUUUGAACAGCUGUGGAUUAUUUUUAGCGCUUGCUUACUGUUGGGCGAAGCAUUUGAACUCUGAUAUCUGAUAUGUUUAGAUUUGAACUCAUGCAAAGCGAUUUGUAUUAAUUUUGAAAGCAAAGUAGGAUGAGAUGGAUGGUUCGGUGAAAUAUAGGAAGUAAGCUGAUAGAAAGAGAAUGCUGAGUUUUGAUGAUUCAUCGCUUUAGUUUAAAUCUUUAUUGAAUCACUGAGUGAUAAAAUGAUUUGAAUGAUGGGGCCUUAGACAGGUGCUACCUGCAUGUGUUUUCAAAUUGAAUUUAAUUAGAAUGAAAGUUGUUUGGUUAGAAAGUGAUAUAUCAGAGUGAUUUGCUGUUAAAAUUUAAGAAGUGGAACGCUGAAUGUUCAUUUGAUUACUGAACAAAGUGCCCAGUUCUGGCAAAUGUAUGGCAUUAAAAAGGAAAUUUGUUUCUGUUGCACUAAUUUUUUUCAUGUCCUUGCUUCAGGUUUGUAAAAUAUGGCUGAUACCGAGGACAUUCAGCCACUCGUGUGCGACAAUGGAACUGGAAUGGUGAAGGUAAUUGUUCAUUUCUCGUUCCCAUUUGUGUUUUUAUAUCACCCUUGCCACUGUUUGUCAGCAUUUUGAUUCGACAAUGGUUUUGUAGGCUGGUUUUGCUGGUGAUGAUGCUCCCAGGGCUGUUUUUCCUAGUAUUGUUGGUCGGCCACGACAUACUGGUGUCAUGGUUGGUAUGGGGCAGAAAGAUGCCUAUGUGGGUGAUGAGGCACAGUCUAAAAGAGGUAUUCUUACCUUGAAAUAUCCCAUUGAGCAUGGUAUAGUAAGCAACUGGGAUGACAUGGAGAAGAUCUGGCAUCACACUUUCUACAAUGAGCUUCGUGUUGCUCCUGAAGAGCACCCAGUUCUUCUUACUGAGGCUCCUCUUAACCCCAAGGCCAACAGAGAAAAGAUGACCCAGAUCAUGUUUGAGACCUUCAAUGUGCCUGCUAUGUACGUUGCCAUCCAGGCCGUUCUCUCUCUGUAUGCCAGUGGUCGUACAACUGGUUAGUAUGACUAUUUCUGUGGUUUGAGUCUUAAUGUUCCUAUCAUCAAAUUAUUCUGGCAUUGAAUGGGCUCUUCUUUUUACAGGUAUCGUGCUCGACUCUGGUGAUGGUGUGAGUCACACCGUGCCUAUCUAUGAAGGUUAUGCCCUCCCCCAUGCCAUCCUUCGUCUGGACCUUGCUGGACGUGACCUCACAGAUUCUUUGAUGAAGAUUCUCACUGAAAGAGGGUACAUGUUCACCACCACUGCUGAACGGGAAAUUGUCCGUGACAUGAAGGAGAAGCUUGCAUAUGUUGCCCUUGACUACGAACAAGAACUUGAGACCUCCAAGAGCAGCUCCUCAGUUGAGAAGAACUAUGAGCUUCCCGACGGCCAAGUCAUCACGAUUGGAGCUGAGAGAUUCAGGUGCCCAGAAGUCCUCUUCCAACCAUCUCUCAUUGGAAUGGAAGCUGCUGGCAUUCACGAGACUACCUACAACUCCAUUAUGAAGUGUGAUGUGGAUAUCAGAAAGGACUUGUAUGGCAACAUUGUGCUCAGUGGAGGUUCAACUAUGUUCCCUGGUAUUGCAGACAGGAUGAGCAAGGAAAUCACUGCUCUUGCUCCAAGCAGCAUGAAGAUUAAGGUCGUGGCUCCACCAGAGAGGAAGUACAGUGUCUGGAUCGGAGGGUCCAUUCUUGCUUCCCUCAGUACCUUCCAACAGGUUUGCAUCAGUUCCCAUAGUACAAUUUUUAGAUUGUAUCAUACAGUUUAGAAUCUUUAUUCAUAGGUUUUGGUUAUCGAGACUGACAAGAUUUCUUGUGUUGUUUAGAUGUGGAUUUCCAAGGGAGAGUACGAUGAGUCUGGUCCAUCCAUUGUCCACAGGAAGUGCUUCUAAGUUCUACAAAUGUUUUGGUGGUGAGUUAUUUUUUCAAUUUAGUUGGAUUUUCGUGUCAAGUGUCAUGUGGAGGACGGGGUUUGUAGUGGAGAGUGAUUGGGAUGUUUUUUUUCCGCCCUUUUUUCUUCUUUGUUCUAUAUUUGAAGGUCUUUUUUCAUGGGAACAUUAAUAUUACUAGUUUUAUUGUAUCUGAAUGGUAGUGUCAGUUUGUGGUCAUAAACUGCUAUGGAAAUUAUAUUUAAAUACUGGCUUGAAAGCUUGAGAGGAAUUUUGCUCCUGUGCUUGCUUGCUUGUUGUAUCUGUUGUUUCCCUUCCUUGAUGGUUUUACUCUCUUCAAUAUGCCAAUUGCGUGCGGGAGAUGUUUUAUCUAAAUCCUGCUUGCUAGUUUAGAGUUUUCGUUUCUCACAAGUUGAGAACUGAAGAUAAGUUUGAGAUCCCUCUUCUGCUCUCAGACUUGAAUCUAUUAGCUUCAAUCAAUUGGAGAUGGCAUUGACAUCUUUGUUAUCUUGUGCAUUAUUAGACUAUUGAUUAAAUACCACCCAAACCAGCUUCUGCUGUGGUGUGAUGUGAUUGUCUGUCGACCAUAGGAAAUAAAGGCAUAGAUUAGAACUGUGUUUCUGAGACCAUACCAGUCCCUUCAUACCAAAAGCGACACACUACCAUUACCAAGUUCUCCAUCAGCAACCCUUGUGCUACCACACCCAGUAUUGAAUUUAUGUUUUUGUCAAUGAUAGACUUGGUUUGCAAGUGUAGCUUUCGACCAAUCAAUUACAAAUUUCCACUUGCUGUUGCUUUUAGAGUAGGUCGCAAGUAAUGCCAUACGCAAAAUCUGUGUACAUCCACCAUGGAUGGUAUUAGUGUACGCUAGAUUUGAUGGUGACAGAUGAACCCAGGAAUUUUUUAGCUUUGGAAGGGGAGACAGUGAUCUGAAAUUGAACACACUGCCGACUUUCAAACAUCAACACUAAACGUCACGUAAUAUGGUUUACCCAAAACGUAGGGUAGCCAUGUCCCUAAAAACAACGAUACAACGCUCGUAAAAAUAAAAGAGGCAGAAGAAAAUGUUACAAAGGCCAUAAAAAAAACCAACAAUGAAGUAGCUAUCACUGAACGGCUUCUGGCACAUUCCUCCAAAAACCUGUGCAAUUUUCUCUGUUGGAACUAAAGGCAAAUAGGAGGCAACCUUGUACCCCUUCUCCACAGCGCAACUCACAGUGUGGUUGUACUUCUCCGAACAAUAUGCAGCGGUUGGUACAACAAUUUCCGCCACCUUUGGCCCCCCAGGUAGUUCAUUCAGCUUUCUCCAUGCACAAACAGCACAUUGCUGAGCUUUCGGUUCGUACUUGGAGUAUACCGACUUAGCCAUGGUUGAGCUUCUUCGCUUGAUCUCUAAUGCAGCAGCUCGAGCAGCAUCUGGCGCUUUCUGAGCAGCGUCUGCAUAGGAUGAUGCCAGAUUGGUCACAGAUUCGUCAACCUUGCCAUCAAGAAAAGAGAGGAGGUCGCCAGGGAGAGCCUGGUACUUGUCAUACACAGGUCCAACAACAGUUUUCACAGCUCCCUCUGCUGACUCAACGCCGGUCCUCAACGGACCGGAUUUCUCUUUGGCAUAACCAUAAGCAUUUGAGAAGCGGACCGCGGCGUGAAGUGCAGCCACUUGAACAAAUUGCAGGUACUUGAGCUGCUGCUGCUGCUUCUCUUCCACCUCUUCCGCGAUAUGUUCUUGCUGCGUGGUUGAGUCCUCUUCAGCCAUAUUUCUAGCUUCUCUUUCUUUCUGUUGGAACUGAAAUCGCAGAUGAUGAGCAAUGAAUGGAAUGCUAUGUAUUUCUCGAUGUGAAUUGUGUUUGAGGGUUUAGGUGGAAGAUGAGCCUUUUAUAGGAGAAAGAGUACUUAGCUGUUAAGAAUUAAGAAGCUUCGGCAGCAAACUAGCUGCCAAUAGUCCGUGUUGUGAAUUUCGCUAAACGAGGACGUCGGUCAAUGAUGCAACAUUGUUGACUUGUUCAAGAUGAAGUACUAUCGUGCUAAGUAACAAGGACAAAUACUAAAAAGAAAGGUAUUAGUUCAGACCGUAUUUGAUACAUUAAUUGUAUAAGUCUCGUAUUUGUAAGUGGAAGGCCGUAUAUUGCAGAGCGUGAGCAACUAUUGCUCUUCCAAUUUUUUCCUUUGUGUUCUUUACAAAGUGUUAGAGUUGAUCGUUUAUAAUGCUGCAAUGCAAAGACGUAGGUACACAACAGAAUGAAUCACUAGCAGUCUAGCACCACAUACAAAAAUUGGUUACAAAAUGCGAGCAUCUGAUGACAUUCACUCCAAAACCAAGUCUGGAAACAUGCAUGUUUACAUCAAGCGACAUAUAGAAGCAGGUUCAACCCAGAGUUCUUGGGGAAAGGAAAAAAUGCAUCAGUAGUCUUUGAACAAGGAAAUUUUGAUUGACCAAGUAAACCAGUCGAAUUUCGCGUUAUACAACUCAAAGCUCUAGAUUCUUACUAUUCAGUAACUCCCAUGACCAAUCAAUAAAUAAAAUACAACUUUAUUUGCUACUGUACAAGAAUGCUACCAAUCUCUCGUGAGCUCACCAUUCUAUCUUUAAGUUAUGCCUGCUUUGAACAAAAAAAUAAAUCUCUACUCUACAUGUCCUGUUAGUGCUGCAUCUUCUUCUUCAUCAUGUUCUUGCUCCACACCUUUGACCUGUAAAUGCAAAUAGCUAUCUCAGGUACUGACAAUCUUGAGCGAAAGAACUCAUUCCAAUAUGUAUCCAACUUCCUUGGACAAAGUCAUUUUGAAUAGAAUCAAAGGAAGUGAUAAUCUAGAGAGGUAGGCAGCAAGAAGUAAAGCUACAGGGAAUGAGAGAUGUUCUCUUGAGAAUAAAUUUGACGGACAUUAAGAAAUCUGAGAUCAUUGUAGAUGAAAUGGCAAAAUGGAAAUCUCCACAAGUAUUUGGUAGCAAUGUAAAACUGUUUCCUAGGCGUAAUCUUUUAUUAAGUUUCGAGAUUCCUACUUCGGAGAAUCUCAUAGUUCUAUUCUUUUACUAUACAAUUCCGGUACAGGCUGAUGGGUUGGAAUCCAGGAUUGAGCACAUUUUAUUUCACUCUCCUUUAAAAUUCAUAACUCGACUGAGGAAAAUAUUCAUUCUUCUAGGAGCUUAUAUUUUUUUGUGCAAACCGAUUUAGACAUGGGAAGAUAUUCAGCAAGGACAUUCAUCUGUCACCUUUUUGUUACUUCAUUUAGAUUUGGGUAUCCGCUAAUAAUACUGUUAUAAUCUCUUACUUCUCUAUUCUCAAAAUUCUAGGAAUGAGAGUGAAAAGGUGGAUUUUCCUUAGGAGAGAAGCACAUUUUGACAUCUCGGUGGCCUUCUUUGAUUAGUCAUUCUACAGUCAAUAGUAUAGAUCAUGAUUGGAAGGGAAUUAUGCUUUACAGUCAAUAGUAUUAGAAGCACAAUUUCAUAGAUGGAUAACUUACGUGUGUGUGUGUGUGUGUGUCUACUUUUAGUUUACAGACAGACCUUUCAAUUCAAAAGAUAUGCACAUAUGCACAUUACUGAGAAUCAAAGCAUGUAAUUCUUACCUCAGGUACAUAAUGCAUGAGCAUGUUCUCAAUGCCAGAUUUCAGGGUGACUGAUGAGCUUGGGCAACCACUACACGCUCCUUGCAUGCUCAGUUUAACUAUUCCAGUCUCUCUAUAGACAGUAUAAAAGUGCUAAGAGAUUCAGUAAGUCUCCAAUAUAUAAAAAGAACAUCAAAAUAAAAGAUCAAAUGACGGAAAACUUACGGAUCAAAUCCCCUAUACUCAAUAUCUCCACCAUCAUCUUGCACUGCUGGUCUAAUGCGAGUCUCCAAUAAUUCUUUGAUCAUGGCAACGACUUCUGAAUCAUCCUGCAACAGCCACCACAAAAACUAAUAAAUAGUGUUCUAUAACAAGAAAACAAAAUACGCCUCCGUACAAAGGGGGCCCACUAUUUCAAAAGCUAGUAUAGCAUAAUUGACGGUUAAAACACAGACACUCAGAUAUAUUCACGACUUUCAGCAAAUGAUCAGGGGAACUACAUUUGCAUUACCAAAUGGUAUUUUCUUUUUGUACAUUUUUCAAGAAGACUAUAAGAGUAACUAAAUUGGCAUCUGAAUGACUAAAGAGUAACAAUAAAAGACUAACUAGUGGCCCUUCCAAAAGACUCUCAGAUGUUAUUGUAGCUAAGACUCCCAGAUAGGCACAACGAUGGGGUAUGAUAAGGUUGUGCUGAGACUAGCAUUUUGAAAAGUCAAGAAGGUAAAAAAGAAACAUGCUAUUGGAAUGAAGCUUGAGAUAGAUCAAUAAAAUAAAUUUCAGAGAAAAGAUAUAACUCGGAUCUGCUGCCUCUGUUAAUUAGCAUAAAAACUCAACAUGCAUUGACAGACAUGAAUUUGUAGUCAUACCUCAUGAAUAGCUGUGUCCUUUGCUGCCCCAGCUUUUGAGUCGAGAAAGAGUGGCUCCCCAGAAGAAUAAAAGUCCAUGAUUGCUGCAAAGAUUUCUGGCUUCAAAAUAUCCCAUGAAGUAUCUUCUGAUUUAGUUACAGUGACAAAAUCUGAUCCAAAAAACACUCGAGUGACACCUGUAUUAAGGAAAACAUGUGGAGUUUAUAACCUCAACAUACAAAAUGCCAUUAAAAGUUCAAGACCAAAAAGAUAAAGAAAGAAAAAAAUAAUAUUUAAGCCCAAACUGCAUCAACAACAAUAUAAAUUGAUCAAGUUUUCAACUAUUUGUUAAAGUAUAGACAACACUAGCUGUUCUUUUGGGAUCAACAGACUUGAUGCAAAAACUUUUUUUUUUUGUAACCCAAAUACCAUUAAAGUAGGUCACACUGUUGCUGUGUAUCUUUGCGUUUAUUUCUAUAUCAUUUUGACCAUGUGGAGGAACAUAUACAUGUAGUUGGUCACUACUUAAGUCUCUGUGUGUUGCGUGGGGGUGAUGUGUAACCAUGCCCAAGUAAUCACAUGAUGCGAUCUCUUGAUGUGUAAGUAAAACAAUCUUUUGCAAACUGAAGCCUAAAGAUACAUGUACAACAACAUUAAGCAGUGUGUUUCCUCUAAAGAAAAGCACUGCUACAAAUUUAUUCAAUUUUGCUUUAUAUUUAUGCUUUAUUCUAGCAAUGAGUUCGGGAAAUUAUAAAGGUAUGUUAUUGAUGGACAUUUCUAUUUAUUAGCAAGUUAGGAUAAUGGACUUUUGUAAUAUUAACUGAAAAGUGUUAGUCAAAAGAAGACUUAGAAGAUUAGAGAUUGAUUAACAAUCCAGUGAGAUGUUGAAGUCGAUUAAUGGAAAACAAACUUCAAAUUUUCUUGAAGUUUUCUUCCAAAGAGGAGAAAGGAAAAGCGUAUCCAAUUUUUUCUUGAAGUUGUUUUGGUAUAUCUAAGGCAUCUAUUUUGUUUAUCUAUACAGUUCAGAUGCAGUAUUCAGAAAGAGCCUACAAUCAUCACCAGCGUAAAUCCUGAAGCACCCCCAUCACCAACUGAACCCUAAAGUCCCAAACCAGCUACUAUAUCUGAACCUUUCCUACGUUUUGUUUAAUUUUUUUUUUUUUUUUUUUUUUGAGGAGGGAAGCACAUGACCUAUACAAUUAAAAACAAACGAUCUGACUCUGGUAUCCAAACAGGCAGGGUGCAGAUGGUAUAAUGCUCAAGAACUUCAAUUUAACCUCCCUUCUCAAAAGACAAGUGUUUUCCAUCUCAAAACAAACCACAAUAUACAGAGGGAACCAUCCAUCGACAGUCAUACAUACCCUUCUAACUCUAAGACCCUCUAAUUAAGAAGUCCCCACCAGAAUCAGUUAUGAGCUAUAUCCUUUUAAGGGCCGAGGAAAGCAUCUACGUGCAGAUGUGCGGUUAAUAAGGAUGGGCAGUUACAUAUAGGCGUGAGCCAUAAUCAUCAAGCAUGUAAAAAUAUGUUCAAGCAGUCCUAAUAACGUCCGUUUUUCAAUCACCAGUCCAAUUAAAUAAAAACAUAAACCGCGAGAGUAUAAAACUAGAUGCUCCUAAAGCUAAUAUCUUGGAGUACUGAUCACGAAAACAGAUACAAUAUAAGGCUACAUUAGCAAUAAUCUCAACAACAACAACAAUCUUACCAUCAAUUCCAUAAAGGGCUUUGGCCAGUGGGGAGUUCAUAGCGGACCGAGGAUUCGGAAAGUCAGCACUGCCAACUUCCAUAACAGGCUUAUCAGGGUAAAACAUAAGCGAUGCAGGAUUGGGUGUCGACUGUGUUUGUAUAAACAUGCUUCUCUUCUGCCCUGCACAAAUUCAACACCAAUCAUAAGUAAACUACUUAAACUCAAACUAACCCAUGUUUCCUUUUACCAAUAAUCACCCAUAAACUGAAUCAAAAUUUGAUCUUUAUUCAAAGCUUUUGAUUGACAUACUAACCUGAGAGAAGGCCCCAUUUGGUAGAAGCGAAAGGAGACGAAGAGGGGGAGAUAGGGCGACCCGAAAACGACGUCGUGGAUGGGAAAUAGGUUCGGCGAGAGAGGUACCGGAAGGUGUUGGGUUGCUCAGAAAGGUGGAAUCUUUUCUGAGAUGAGAGACUUCGUCCGAUCAAUCUUGCUAAAGCCCUCAUCUCAACCAAGCCAAGGAGUUGCUGCUUCUUUUCUUGUUCGGGUUUGUGUUUGGGAAGAAGGAAAUCGGGAGAUGAGAGAACAGAGGGAAGAAAAGAAGAGAACGUUGGUCGUUUUGUGCGGUUGUGUGCCCAAGUUACAUUUCCCCUCUCAGCUCUAUUUUUCACCAACAUUUUUUCACUUUUUCACACCCGUCCUUCUAAUUCUUUUUUUUUUUGAAAAUAGGGUGAGGUAACAAGUCACUUUGAUACGUUAGUAAGUUAGUGAGACACUCAUUUUGAUAGUGGUUUGCUUCGAAGUCACACAGAUUGACGAACUCGAAGACAUAUUAUUGGUCAAAAGUUGGUAAGAUAUAGAAGUUAUAAUUAGUCUUAAGAGACAAAGUUAGUUUAGUUUGUAUUCGGCUUGUUAUAUGCAAACUGAUCAGGUGUAUUGAGCUGGUAUGCGCAUUUGAAAUUUAGUAGUGUACACGCCAAUACUCACACUCUUUUUUUUUUACCUAAUUCGUAUAUAAUUUGAGGACAACUCUAAUGGUGUGAUCUGAGGACAACUCCAAUAGUGGGUGUAAAAUAAAGAUGAACAUUAAUGGGCAAAUAAGAAUGGUCGGCAAAUUUAUAUCCUAAAAUAAAGGUCUUAAUCUCAAAAUGGGAUCUAAACUCUAAAACCAUCAGGUUGAAAUCUAAUUUUUAAAUAUAAUAUUGAUAACUCUUUGGUGAUUUUGUAGAAAUAAAAGUGGGCCUAAAUGGAGAACACGACCACACGAGUUCUCUUUGAACUAUCAAGUUGCACCAACCUAACGGAAGAGGCUUCGUUUUCCGACUCCGAAUUUUCCACCGGAAUAAUGAGAAUAGACAACUUGGCCGGCAAAGCCAUUCAAAUAUGCCCUUCUCCCUCCCACAUCUCUGGCUAUUUCUCCUCUGCCACCAACCGUAUCCAAAUCCUAAGGUUUCAAUCUCUUCCUACCCUUCUUCAAUACCGUUGGUUUAUGUUUCCUUGUUCAGAAUUGAAGCAAAACUGUCGCAAUUAUUUUGAUAUUUUACAUCCAUAUAUAAUUUGUAUGAAAAAAGAAAAUAUUUGAUAUGGGAAACUUCAUAAAGUGCUGGAUUGGAAGCUUGCAAUUAUCUUGUGAUUGUUCCUGCAUUAAGUUUAAUCAUUGUAAUGCUUACAAUUACAGUUGUUCAUUAGAAUUACAGAUGAUUUGGUGCCUCUAGUUGGUUUAUUGAAUAUUUAAUUACUUGGCAGUGAUGUUAGAGUUGGAUUGAGUUGUGUUUGUAGAUAAUGUUCUUUGCUGCAUUUAGAAUUGUAUGUAAACAUGAGUAUAUUUCUUUCAGUUUUGGCUUUUUGUUUAGGACAAAGGAAGAGAGACCAAAGAACGAAGCAGAAGAUGUUUAUGAAGUUGUACCAUGGGUUAGCAUGAGUCCUAAGCUUGAGGAGAAAGGAAAUUCUGAAAAGCGGAAAGCUACAAAGAUCUCUGAGUAACGGGUAUUUUCGACACUGUUUUCUCUGCGUCAUGUUACGUUAUGUGAAUUCAUGUUUCUUCACAAAUUUUCAUAAUAAAUGAGUAGAAUUGCAAUAAUAUCGAUGAUAGAUUUUAUUUUGCAGUUAACAUCUCAAUGAUGCCUGAAUAAAUCAAUUACCUUUUUGGUUUUUCUGCAUUUCCGUGUUAUUUAUUAGAUUGAUCUCACUUUUACUCUGAACCCUUGUUUAUAGGUCUAUCUGAGGUUACAGUUCAUCCUGGCCUUGGCACAGGAAUGGUAGGUGGGCAGUUGUUUGAAUACUCGAGGAUCUAAUCAUUGUAGCUGAUGGUGACAUUGAUGGAGGUAAAGUAACUUGGAUUCCAAAAGUAGUUGCAUACUUUCAAUUAAGCUGCAUUAUGUUAUUAAGUUGUACGUGUAGGUUUGGAUUCUUCUUGUGCUGGUAACAAAUAAUGUGCUUAUACUACUCUAUAUCUGUGUACAUAUGUUAUGCAGUAACUCUACCACUUAGAUGACUUUUGUUGAACCUUCGUUGUAUGUCAAGUCAAGAACCGUAUAUUUAUUGUUGUUAUUUGGUAGUAUGACAUUAGAAGCAUUUAGUUUAGUAUUUCUAGCCAGAGAGUAGUCCUGCAGGAACACUUUAAAACACACAUCCAAGUUGAUUUAGUCAUAUAAAACUAUCAUUGAUAGUAUUUUUUAUAUUAAUUUGACACCAUCUUCAUCAAGGAACUGUACCCUGGACAUAGAGAUAGUAAUCUUACAGAAACUCCUUCAGUGGAUGACAUAAGACCCUACACGGAAAAAGUCACCUGACUUGAUUUGGUGCUGUAUAGUUAUAUAUAACUGCUGCAACAUGAAAUUAGUUGUCUUUUGGAGGGAGGGGGAUGUGAGAAGCAUGAUAUGUGUACUAAAGUCUGUUGGUUGGUUUUUUGAUCUUAAAACUUCAAAAACCAGUUAUCUUUUUUGUAAGAUAAUUUCUUGCAAGUCCUAUAAGAAAGUCACAACCAUAGCCAAUAUGCACAAUGUUCUAACCAAGCUCGAUGAACGACUCUCUGCUCUGCUCAUUUUAUUUUUAUUUUUUUCAAUAGCUGCUCAUUUUUGGGUGUUGAGGGUUGAGAUAGAAGGGCAGCCUGGAAAUUACCAUGAUUGGCCGUGACAUGUCACAGGAUCUUAGUUUUGUCUUGAAUUAAGUAUGUGGCAAACAUACUGAACUGCAUCCCAGAUGGUAUUGGUGCAAUGAGAUUGCUAUUUGAGGUGCUGAAGGAUCAAGGAAUAUGAGUAGUUUUGGGGGGGGAUCUUAAUUGACAACUUAUUCUGAGAAAGGUCAUUUUGCAUGGAUGAGGAUGCAACGAGUAGACAUUAUUGGAGAGGUUGAGCACAGGAAGUCCCUUUUAGUAUCUGAGGGACUCCAGAAUCAUCCCUUCCAAACUGUUUCUUACCAAUAGUUGUCAUGACAUUUUACUGUUGGAAUAUGCUGCAGACAAAUAUCUGAGAAACGAUUGUGAGAGGGGAUCAGUCCUGGACUAGUUUGGGACUGUAAUGUUAAUGCUGCUUUGAGCCAUUAGUAUUAGAGUGUCGUAAAAUAAUUAAGUUGCAAAACAAGAACCUCCCAUCCACGAAGGUCAAGUAUCAGUAGUUUGAUCCUUACCAAUAUGAAUGAGCUUCCACAUUGUAUUGCUAAUGAAUGAUUUUGGUAGUUGAGCUUGAAGUUGCUUUGACUUAGAUAGAUCAUCCUUAAGAUGUCACAGUUUGUGCAGGUUAAUCUAAUAGUGCUGCGGAAGUCAUUUAUUUUCAGUUUUAGGACCUCUAGGAAAGUACUGAUAUUUCAGAACACGGUGGUAGCAUGCCACUAUAAUAUUUGGAUGAAGCAUCAGCGAUAUUGAGUAGACUGAGUAGCAAAUGCGAAGCAGUUUCCUCAACUACCAUGUAUUGUGGAACUAGGCACACAUGAUGGAUGGUGGUGAUAUGGGAUAGGUCCUUGAAGCAUGAUGUCAUCAAAGGGCGAAAACUUCUAAGUCAAACCUUGGGUGAGGAAUUGAAAUUUUAAAUGCCUAUUUGAAACUUUAGGAUCUCAUUAUUUAGGCAUUAGCUGGUAUUACUAAUUUCCAUGUAGCCAGUCAUAGAGUUGUCUGAGAACUGUAUACACACACGAUAGUCAUAUAUAUAAAUAUAUAUAUUUUUUCUUUUGCAUUAGCUGGUAUUGGUAAAUUCCAUGUAUACGGCCAUAGGUUUUUUUGUCUGGUAUAAAAUCAAAUUUUAUAGUUUAGUUCUGGUCUGCAAUAAUAAAAACUUAACGAAAAAAAAAAUCCCAUAAGCUGGAAUCUACAGGAAUAAUUGUCUUACCAAAUAGAAAAGGAAUUAAAUAGUUAUUAUAUAAACUCCAACGUAUAAAAAAUUAUAAUCAAAUUUAAAGUUUGCCAAAUAAGGACCAUUGAUUAAAUCUUUAGAUGUGCUUCAUAAAAAUAAAGCAUUUCCAUAUAACAUGAGUAAUUAAAAAAUAUUAAUUCUAUUAGAUUCAGGUAUCGACAAUAGUCAAAUGUAGCCAGUCAUAGAGCUGUCUAAGAACUGUGUUUAGGAUUAAGAAGCGUUUCGUUUGUUGAAAUCUCUAAUUUAGAGAGAGGUUAAAGAAGACUUGGUACUGCACCAAGCACGCAAGAAAUGGUUAAAGCAAAAACAAGUCAUUAAACGUUGUCAUUGUACUUUCAGCACCAUAAAAAAUAGAUAAAAAUUUUUUUGUAACCGCAGUCUGAUAUAAACAGUAGGAAUAUGCCAGGUUAGGAGAGAGAAUAUCUAGAAAUGUGCUGCCCUAAUCCAUCUAUUACUACCCCUUCUAACCUUCACCAAACACUUGGGGGUUCUCUCUGAUCUUCUCCGAGAGAGAUUUGGUAGGCAAUUAAGUUUCCGAUCUAGAGUGAAGGAAGGUGAAGGUAUCCAAUUGGCUCACAAAUUCUCCUACUAGCUGGGUAGAAGGAUAAGAUCGACUUCUCCUUGAUAUAUGAUUGGUAUGCAUUAUUAUUUAGAUUGUGUUUAUUUUGGAUUAGCUCUUGAAUCACAACAGUUCAUGUUUUAUAAUUGUAAUUUGUCUUAAUUUGUAGCAGAAAUUUGAAAUCAAAUUCAUUUACAAAAGUAAUAGACAAGAAUUUCAUGAGAGAAGCAAAAGAUAAUGGCAACUGUAGAAGGUGACGAAAUAUGUUUCGACAACAAGAAUAUGAUAGAUAGAUUUAGUAAUCUUCCAGAUGAAGUUUCUCAUCAGAUUCUCUCCUUGCUUACUAUAGAAGACCUUGCUCGAGUGGGUUGUGUUUCCAAUAGAUGCAAAGAAUUAUACAUAUCAACUCCUUCACUGGAUAUCAAAUUUUAUAACCAGGAUACAUCCACAUGUAAUAAGCGGCUACGGCUGUUAAAUUCUUUGGAUAGGUUCUUGGUUCACCGUGGGGGUAAUAAGUUGCAAUACUUUCGUGUGAGUUGGCGUAGUCACUCUAUAGAUGAAGGUCGAGCAUUACAAUGCUUUUGUGAUGAUGAGAUUUUUCGAAUGAUACUCACGUGGAUCCAAAAUGCAGUAAGUUGUAAAGUUGAAAAACUUCUUGUUAAGAUCAUUUCCCCAGAAGAUGUGAGUACGAUCACUACAAUGUCUAUGACGUUCAUAUUUCUCUGUGAAUCUUUGAGGUCUCUACUGCUGAAAAUGUAUUGUACAAUUCAUGAAGCACCCUCCUUUGCUGUUUCUUCUAAUCUCAACUACUUGAAGUUGCAAAAUGUUCGUAUCAAUGAUGAGGGGUUUUUCAAAUGGAUAUCAUGUUGUUGUAGAUUCAUUGAAGAAUUAAUUCUGGAAGAAGUUCGUGGGAUGAACACUGUCACCAUUGAGAGCUCAUCCUUGAAAAUAUUUGGUUUUUAUUUUCCAGUUGAUAUCUGCCAUCUCGUCUUGUCAUGUGAGAAACUUGAAGACAUAGUCAUUGACUGGAGAUUUGAUGAACCUAGUAACAGAUCGUCAAAUAUUUUUGCUCCCAAUCUUAAAAAGUUGAUGUGGUACGGUAAUGUGAUGAAUCAGCGGAACCUGGGAAAAUUAGAAUGUCUAGAACAAGUUACACUUCAACUGGAGCCUGAAGUAGACUAUAAAAAUGUAUAUGGGCUUCUUUGCAGUUUAUGCUGGGUUCGAGUUCUUACUAUUGAUCUAUUCACCAUUCAGGUAAUGAGAACUAUGGCUCUAGUGCUGAUGCAUUAUCUCUUUUAUGGAUAUUUUACUAUUUGAAUUUUUCUUUUGGUACGGUGAUUAACUGAUUAUAGAAUUCCAUUUUGUUCUGUGUCAUAUGUUCCAUAUGGUCAAUUUCCGUAUUGUCCAUAUGUUACCAGUUUAGGUUCUUAGUCAAUGUGCCAUCAAGUGUUUACAAUGGUGGAAACUGGUGCCAAUUUUUGUCAACUUGUCAACCUGUGUUCAUGUGGUUCAUGUGCGAUUUGAAUGAAAAUCUGAUGGUUUUUGCCACCAGUGACCAAGGUUGAAACCGUUUGAAAAGAGGAACAAACAGUUCUCUGGGGCCAAUUGACAUCAGCUAAAACAGAGGGACCAAAAUUCUUUUCUUUUUUUUUGGAACGAGAGUUUAAUUUUUUUUCCUUUAAAAAGGUAAUAAGGCUUAGUUUUUUUUUUUUUUUUUUUGAUUGAAAACCCAUAAGGCAGUUAGCGAGUUUAGUUAUUUUCUAAUUCAGUGAGUUUUUUUGCUUUUCCAACUUGAGUGAUUUGUUGUUAUUACAUGAUAAUGACAUGCUUUUAAAGGGUGUACAAGAACUUAGUUUUGUGCAAGAUUUUGCACUUUACAUAAAUUGAGAAACAAGUUCAAUCACAUUGCAGGCUUUAUUCUGGGAAGGAUGCCGACCAAUUCAGUUACAUAAUAUUUGGUGGUUGCGCAUGGACAUGCAUGUGCUUACUAAUGAUCUAAUCCCGGCCAUGGUUUCUCUUUUUAAAGGAAUGCCCAAUUUGUGCACUUUACACAUGGUGUUCAUGAAUAUCAACUACUCUUCUGUUCGCUGUGACCAUGUUGUAAGUAGUCCCUGUUGCUCACUUGCUCUUGUUGGUUUCUAUUUCUAUCUCUUCAAUCUCUCUCACAAUAAUGUUGAGGAGUGUAUUCAUGAGGAUUUUAUAACAAAGCUCUGUGCGUGCUGUCAUUUUAAAGUUUGUUUUCUAUUUUUCUUACUCAUUAAUCUGGAAAUUUCCUUUGAUUUUCUAGGCAACAUCUAAGUUUAAUUUGGACUACUGGGAGAAGCAAGACCUGGCUUUUGUGCAUAAACUUCAGGAGGUACAUAUGGAUCUUUGUGAGGGUUCAAACGCAAUGCACUUAGCAAGGUAUAUACUUGGGAAUGCUCCGGCUCUGAAGUACAUGAUCAUAUAUUAUCCAUCUAAGCAGCUGAGUGUUGUACACAAGUUGAAAAAAGAAAAGCCAGUUUCAAAUGCCAAAGUUAUCUUUAAGAAAGCUGGAGAAGUGUGGCGAUAGAGUUGCAUUUGAUACUUUGUUGCUCAUAAAAUUUCCAUAUCAAAUUUCUAUCACUUAAGACUUCUAUUACCCCUUGAUAUUUGAUGUUUCCUGCUGCAUUAUUGCAUUUCCUUGCCAACGGCAUGUAGUGAUCCAAAUAAAGGUUCAUGUAGUGGCUGUAUUAUGUUGGUAUGGUGCCACAGAUAUUCCCCCUAGCAGGUCUUAUCAGGUAACAUUGAGCUAUUAUUAGGUUUUUUUGAAGUCUCAAGUGUGCUGAAACAUGCAUCAAUGGUAGUUCAGUCUCUUGUGGUGGUAGAACAACCUUCCUAAUAUUGGAAGUUGGUAUACUAAUACAUAUAUGGUCACCAUUUGGCAUGUUUAGGCUCUUUUUUUUUUUUUUUUGGGUCAAGCAUGUUUAGGCUCUUUUAUGAGUUUUUUCUUUAGUUAGAAACUGCCUCGUUAAUUAAUGUUCCACAGUGGCACCCGCCAUACUAAAAUUUUCCCAGCUUCACAGGCUCUCUCAUCUUUUCAUCGGCUGUGAGAUCUGACAUUAGGCAGUGGAGUCACAAAACAUAUAUUUUAACUUGUCCACUUCCUUCUGUUUUCUUUUUGGAUAGUGACAAAUUGUGUAUUGCUACACAUAUAACCAAGGAGUAAAAUAUCGACAAUCACGGAAAUAUCGGUGGUAAAUCUCGAUUGAUAUAUCGAGAAAAUAUCGAUUAUCGAUGGAAAUUUUACUAAAAUUUAUAUAAAAUUUGUAUAUUUGACUAAAAAUAGAUUAAAUAAAUAUCAGAAAGAUAUAAAAAUAAAUAUCGAUGCUUGUAAAAAACAGAAAUUUUGAGGAAAUAUUGAAGAUAUUAUGGAUAUUUUAUUCCUUGCAUAUAACUUGUGUUAACCACGAGCAACAGAGCAGCCUUGGGCGUGAAGGCGAAGGUGGUAACAAACGAUGGUAGUAACAAAGGCAGAGCUCCGGUGACUCGGUGGAAAUGUUGGCUGUGGAGGAAUGUAUAGAAAACUUGAGGCGCGCUGUUCGUUUUCAUGGCUCAAAAGUAUGUGAAUUCCUAAGGUUUGUCUGAAAUAUGGCUGGAGGGAUCUCAACUAUGUACUAUUUGAGCAAGUCCAUUGACAAUCAUAGUACAUUUACCGGAGACAUUUCUAUUUGGAGUAAUGCUAAGUGAACCAUUAUAUGAGGAAUCACCUAGAGCCCAUCUUACGUAGCAGCUGAUGUGACAUACCCACAUCAUCAAAACUUAAUUUCUCAUUCUUAUAUAUUUUUAUUUUUCUUAAUCAUGAUAAUUCCUUUUCUGUUUUUGUUUCCUAAUUUUAUUUUUUAAACCCAAUUUUUUUUUUUUUAUCUUGUGGUCUGAUCUGCAAAGUGCAAACGUUUUCAACUUUGGUUAAAAUAACUUCGAUCAUUUGGAUUAGAAACGUCAAAGGAUUAAUUACUGUGUUUCGAGUAAAAUUUGUUGCUCACUGGAAAACCUUCCCCUUCUUCCUCUAAACCCAGCUAAACCUAGAUUCUCAUAUUUCACACUUCUCUCCGGCCCUCUUCUUCCUCUAAACCCUAUUUUUUUUUUUUAUCUUGUGAUCAAAAUGAUUUCUUCUAGUAAGAAACCAACCCAUGAACUCCGAUCCACCUUCCUCGAAUCAAAAAAUAAAAUAAAAUCCACAUUCCAUUUGUGCAGCUCUUGUUCAAGCUAUAUAGAUAUUAGAAACAAGAGUUCUAGAGAUAAUUGAGGAUCCAAGAAGAACACAAGAACCAUGCUAAACCAAAAUUUAAAUCCACAUCCCAUGAACCCUAAUUCCAAAACAUGUUAUUCGUAUUUCAUACAUGAGAAAGAAAAGAAAAAACUAAUUAUAUUAUAUAACCAAAGAGGAGGCUUGUGAGGAAACCAAAAUCAAAUAGAGGAGUUGAUCAAUUGAAAACGAAGUGUGAGGUAUGCCAGAAGAGAGUAGAAGAUGUUGCAGAAUUUUUUUUACAAUCGAAGAUCUCGCAUAUGCGAACAUAAGAAACUUGAAGACGUUUGCAAAAUCACAAGAUAAAAAAAUAUUGGGUUUAAAAGAUAAAAUUAAGAAACUAAAACAAAAAAAGAAAUUAUUGUAAUUAAGAAAAAUAAAAAUAUAUAAGUGAUAUUAAAUUUUUUGUUUGAAUGACUAACGCCCUUUACCUGCUGUAAACUGAAAUCUUCCGAUUCCGUAAGUAAAACAAACAUGAAAACGGACACAAGGGAUUUAGAUUGAAAUUGUGAAGGUCUUUGAUUGCUACAAAUUUUGUUGAUUUUUAAUUAGUGAUAUAUGCGAGACUUAGGGUUUCACAAUUUGAACAAUUGUACUACAUGUGCAGCCAUCAAAACUGGGCAAAAAUAGUGAAUCACGUACUGAUCUGAAACCAACAUGUAAAGGCAAAACAAACUUGGUACAAGGCAUGACAGAGUCAAGUUGAACAUAGAUCUUCACUAGUGAAUCAUUCAAAUGACAAGUUGUAUUACAUAUGUAAAUAUCACCAUUUCAAUAGCUACUUUGUUAUUACAAUCAAUUUGCAUAUUUCUCAUCAUAUAUCGCAGUUUUUCUGGUAAAUCACUGAUCCGAUAACCCUGGCUCGUAGUUUGGCUUAGUCUUCUUGUUGCUGCUGCUUCUUCUCUUCGUCCUUUAAUCUGGGUCAAGAGCUGUACCAGCUUCGUCAACAGCUUUCACCAGCUUUCUCAUCAGGCUCUUCCUAUUCCUUGGCAGUACAGCAUCAACGGUGGACUUCCACUCUUUUACAACAGCUCCAGUCACCUUCUUCCUUUCCAUGGCAGGGAAUUUGGUUUUCCUGUUUCUGUUGGUAAACCUCCCCUUGAACAUGUCUUUGGUAAAUCGUCAAUUCGAUAUAAACUGUGUAUAUAUGAAGUGGCCAAAUGGGUUGUGUCUCAUCAUCUUCUUCUUCGUUCUGGCUAUCAGACGCGUCAGGGCUCAUCUUCACCAUGAUAGCCAAAACUUGGUCUUCAAUUACAGAAGAAAAUGUGAGGUGGGAUAGAUCUGGGGGAUCGAAGACACUGAUUCUAAGUGAGGAGAUGAACACUUGAGCGACCUUGAGCUCCAUUUUAUAGGAGCAGCGGAGGAUUCUAGAAAGGGGGAUUUGUACAAAACAAUGGCAAUAACACUAUCUGGUUUCAAUUAGGUUUCUGGUUUUAGGUUUUGAGUUGAUCUUAUCCAAGGUCUAGGUUCAGCCUCCCAAACGUUUACUAAACCAAAACGUUUGUGCUUAACAGUUGCUACCUUGGUGUUUUAUUAUUCUUUUUGAAUAAACAUUGGUUUUAAGUUUUAACAAUUGCACUAUGUACAGUACAGAAAUAGGACCGGGAUCAGUCUGAAACCAGCAUGUAUAGGAAAAACAAAUUCGGCACAAGUCAUGGUACACUAUCCACUAAUAAAUCAUUGAAAUUACAAACUGUUUUACAUCUGUUAAGAUCAUUCAUCGUUUUUACAGCUAGCUAGCUUGUUGGUACAAUGAAAUCUCAUAUAGUAGACUCCUUGGUAAAACACUAAUCCAAUUUAACCUGGCUCAAUUUAGCCUGUGUUUUCUUCAUCUUUAACCUGCUCAGUAGAAGAACUGGUUUAUAGAACUUGUGGCAGUUCCAAUGCGGACGUCUACAGCUCUUAUCUCUCUUCUGAGGACAGAUUAGCUUCAACUGGCUUCUCUAUCCUAAAAUUGAUAUAAAUAAGAUAAAUGUUUCUAAUUAAUAUUAAGAAAAUCCUUGAUGAAAAGUGCAACACAAAAUCAAUGUUUCUUACAAACAGAUCACAGUGAAUUCGAUCUUAAUCACACAUGUUUCUAGAUGUGUCCAAACAAGAGUAUGGUAAAUAAGAGGUUCAAAAAUCAAACAAUUUGGUGUAAAUUGAUUGAUGUAUAUGGGUCUGGUUCUUGGGACAUUACAUUUGACACUAAUUUUGACACCGUUUCCUGACCAUUAGAUUUAAAAAAAAAACGAUGGACUAAAUCAAUUGUAGAUAUGAUGUCAACCUAUAAAAACUGACGUGGCAAUUGACGUGGCAUUACUUAUUUUAUAAUAAAUCAAAUCAAAUUAAAAUAAAAAAAGAAAACAAAAUCAAAACCUAAAACCUAAAAAUCUAAAAAUCAAAAACUGAUGACUUCAGACGUUGCUUUGUUUCUGUAGUGGAUGAAUUUACAAGCAAAAACUGAAACCAUUGCAACAAUGUACAAUAAUAAAAUUCAACUUGCUGCCAAUAUGUUGUCUUUGUAAAUAUCCCUUUAUAAAAGUAGUGCUUCAAUUGUCAUAGCUGAUUAAAGGUAAUUAAGUGAACCAUGAGAGUCAACGAUUGCAUCAUUCACAUGAUUCAUGAACUCAAUACUAUUGGAACAUGAGAAGCUAGCAGACAAAUUAACCAUGUCAACCAUGGCUUGGAUUAACGAGAUUUUGGUACUUCAUUAGUUUGUUGCAACAAAAUUCAAGAAUACUAAUAAUCUAGAAAUAUUGAACUUGGUAUAAGAGAAACUCGAAAGCAAAGUCUUCGCCUAAAGGAAUCACCCUUGUAUAUCAGGCUAUGUCUUGCUGGAGUUUCAUCAAUGUCGUCUCAAUACAAAUUCGUUAUUUGCUCGUCUGUAUUUCUCUUCUUUCUCUUGAUCUGUGUUCUUCUGGGUCUUCUAUGUUCUGUCGUCUUUUUUUUUCUUCUUUUUAUUUCACUGAUCGAUUUUUUUUUCAGAUUUCAGAUUUUAGGUUUUGAUUUUGUUUUCUUUUUUAUUUUAAUUUGAUUUGAUUUGUUAUAAAAUAAAUAAUGCCACGUCAAUUUUUGUAGGUUGACAUCAUAUCUACAAUUGAUUUGGUCCAUCGAUUUUUUAAAAAUUUAAUGGCCAGGAAACGGUAUCAAAAUUAGUGUCAAAUGUAAUAUUCCAGGAACCAAACCCGACAUAUAUAUGUACCUGCUUUUGGUAAAUCGUCAAUUCGAUAAAAAAAAAGUUUAGAAACUGGGUUGUCUCAUCAUGAUCUUCUUCUUUGUCAUGGCUAGGAGAUGCAUAUCAGAGUUCUUCACCAUGAUAUUUAUAAAAAAAAAAGAAGCGAAAACUUAAUCCCUAGCUAUCUACAGAACAAAAUGACUCACAUAGGUUUGAGGGAUCAGAGAUACUGAUUUCUGAGUGAGGGAUCAGAAAUACUUUAGUUGAAAUAGAGAGUACUGGUGUAGAGGUAUUUAUAAAGUGGCUAGCCAAAAUGACUUUUUAGCUAUUUUGGCUAAAAUUUGACUGCAAAAUGGCUAUAUUGCUAAAAAUGAAAGCCAAACAUGGCUUUGUGUCAUUGAUGAAGCCGUUUUUUAAAUUACCCAAAAAACCAAGGUAGUAGAAAUUUCUUAAAAAACUAAAAAUAAUAUUUAAUAUGGCUUUACCAUAAAACACCAUUAGAUAUUAUGUACAGUCUAGUGAAAAUGAAAGAUGUUUCACUUGAACUGCUCCACUUAAAGUGGGAUAAAUUAGAUAAUCCUAUUUUUUGGUAGAUAACUACUCAUGAAAGGUGGGAUGAAACUCCGUGCUUAAGCACGGGUGAAAGACUAGUAUCCCAUAGUGAACAAGCUAGGGUACCCACCAAUACCUCAUACAUUUUUUUUCUUUUUAUUUAAUAUUUAACAAUUAAAAAGAUGGUAACCUGAAGAACUGGUCAUUAGGUUACCCACUUAGAAUAUGACACGUGGCAUUAUUGUUAUUUUUAUUUUACAACAUAUGGAUAUUUAUUACAAACAUUUCAUGAUCUGACAAAGUUAUUAAUAGUUCAUUCCAACAUCGAAUAACAAAAGAACCUAGUUGCACAAAUACACUAACAUUAACUCAUUACCAAUAUCAUGAACAAGAACUCAUCGGGAAAAAAAAAACAUGAACAAGAUUUUUAAUUUCUCAACGCAUUGGUAUCCUGACCAUUACACUCUCACCCUCAAAGUCAAGAACAAGAAAACAAGAAUGAAUACUAAAAGCCCCGUAUCAAUUUGAAACGGUGAGAAUGGUAGAUUGAAGCAAUUGCAUCUCUCAAUACAAUUUUAUGUGAACUAAAAAAUCCAAAACACAACCACCCAAAAUCAAUACCACAAUCCACUCGACUUUACCCCAAAAAUUUCAAACCAAAAAACUACAAAAUAAUUAAAAUAACAAUCAAAGAAUCGAACCUGGUUUCGAGAAUCUUGCGGGUUAGAGGAAAUCAAAAUGGCGAUCAAUUCAACCUCUAUUCUUCCAAUUGAACAAUUAAACUACGACUUCAUCCUCCAUUAAAUGAACAUGCAUCAACCUAGCUCUUGUUAUCCUCAAACGAAACCGAACCCAACUUCCAUUCCCCUGAUUCAAACGAAACCAAUGAGAAACACAAGAUCGCGCUGUAACAUCAAGAAUUGGGUUUUACAUGCUCUGUUCGAUUGAAACCUGAUAACCAAAAUGGAUUCUCUCUCUCGUCUCUCCGUGCAAACUGGAAUGCCGUUCUCUGCUUCUCUGUAUCUUUAGUCGUCUUCUUCUUCUUACUCGCGAACCCUAUUUUUUUUAUUUUUAUUUAUUAGGUUGAAAAUGACCGGGUAAACAAUUAUUCAAUUCAGAAUAUUUACAGUCAUAAGAUAUAUUAACGAUUCAACGGUUACAAAUAUUCAUAGAAGUCACAGUAUGACAAACCCACCAGUAUUGUAGAAUUUUCCUUGUUUUAAGAUUAUCAUUUCAGCGGCUAAGUAACUUGUUAUUACAAUCGAUUCUCAUAAUAUUGCAGACUCCCUGGUAAAUCACUAAUCCAAUUUAACUUAAAUUCAAAGUCUCAGUAGCUAAUUAACUUGUUAUUACAAUCAAUUGUCAUAUUGCAGACUCCCUAGUAAAUCACUAAUCCAAUUUAACCUAACUCAAUGUUUAGAUCAUACAUACUUUCAUACUCCUUGGUAAAUCACUAAUUCAAUUUAACCUUACUCAUUUUAAACCGUUACAUAGUCUUGUCAUCAACAGAUAUCUCAAGACUGAAUGCAUAGAGACAAGGCUCCCCAUAGGCAUUCUCCUUAACUUGUCCAUCCCUUCAAUUUUUCAAUUACUCAGCUGCCUAUCUUGAACUGAGAGGUUGAGUUUUGGGAACUCAAACAAGCCCAAGAAGUCGUUCAUCGUUUUCAAUAUGUACUCCACGGGUCAUUGAAGAAGCUCCACAUCAAGUCGUAUCUGCAAGUAUAUAAGAGGUUCAGAAAUUAAACAAAGAUGAUAAUAGAUUAGUUGAUAGCUAGCUACAUAUAUAUACCUCUGUUUGGUAAAUCGUCAAUUCGAUAUAGACUUAUGAAGCAGGUUAUUGUCUCAUCUUCUUCUUCUUCCUCAUCUGGACUAUUGGAUACAUCAAGAUUCGUCUUCAUCAUGAUUUAUAAUGAAAGGCAAAACCCAAUCUCUAAUUACAUAAGAAUCAAAUCCAAAAACUUAAACCCUAAUUACAUAAGAAAUUGAGAUAUUACUGAGGAUCGAGUGAGGGAGUGAUGAGUUGAGCAGCGCCCUUGAGGUCUUUUUUAUAGGAGUAGUGGAGGCUUCUAGAGAGGUGGAUUUGUACAAAACAAUGGCAACCUUUUACCUGGUUUUAGGUUUCUGGUUUUACUUUUUUUCUUUUUCUUUUUAGAAACGUUCUGGUUUUUACGUUUACGUUAUGGAAAGGAGGCAUAUUGAGUUGAUCUUAUCUAGGUUCAUAGCCUCUCCAAUUGAGAUAAAGAUACCUUUGUUUUAUUCAAAAAAANNNNNNNNNNNNNNNNNNNNAUAUAUAUAUAUAUAUAUAUAUAUAUAUAUAUAUUUAAACGUAGUUGUUUAAAGUUACAUUUGACAUUCAUUGUUUUCUUUUAGCAUGUUGUAAAUAUUUAUUUAUAACCCUAUUCUCAAGAUGUAAACAAUAUGUUAAACGUACAAUAUGCAUGUCGUUAAUGUAGACAAUAAAUAUCAUAAACAACCGAUCUUUUGUAGUAAGAUUAAGGUCAACGGGGUGUAAAAAGACGUGUUUACUAAUUUCAAUGUAGUAUUGAUGUUUAGAGUAUGCUUCAUUUUGGGUGUUCUUGUCGCUGCAUGCACAUACUAUUAAUGGAUUUUUUCUGCAGCCCCAUAAGCAAGUUCUUAUUGUACUAAUUUAUAUAGCAUGUUGUAAAUAUUUGUUCAUAAUACCCUAAACUCAUGAUGUUAAUAGUUAAACGGGCAACAUGCAUGUCGUUAAUGUAAACAAUAAAUAUCAUAAAUAGCCGAUCUUUUGUAAGACUAUGGUCCACGGGUGUUGAAAACGUUUUUAUUAAUUUCAAAUGGUAUUGAUGCUUAUAGAGUAUGCUUGAUUUCAUGUGUGCUUGUCAGUGUAAUAUUGAGUAAUAGUUUUUUUUGUAGCCUUAUAUAUAUAACCGUUAUUGUACUACUUGCCGAAAUUCAUAAAUGAAUGAUAUUUUCAGCUCAAAAUGAAAAGUGGAAGAAAGUAAAACCUUGCACAUGUCAAAAGCUUCUUUUCUUCUUUUUAUUUUUUAUUUUUUAUUUUUUUCCACAGUGUUUACAGAUUCGGGUACCCUAAAUAGCCGAUCUUUUGUAAGGCUAUGGUCCACGAAUGUCGAUAACGUUUUUAUUAAUUUCAAAUGGUAUUGAUGCUUAUAGAGUAUGCUUGAUUUCGUGUGUGCUUGUCAGUGUAAUAUUGAGUAAUAGUUUUUUCUGCUGCCUUAUAUAUAUAACCUGCUAUUUGCCGACAUGCAUAAAUGAUGACAUUUUCAGCUCAAAAUGAAAAGUGAAAGAAAGUAAAACCUUGCACACGUCAAAAGCUUCUUCUUCUUUCUCUUUUUUUUUUUUUUUCUUCAUAGUGUUUACAGAUUAAGGUACCCUAAAGGCUUUUUAGGCUCAUAAGUUAAUCUCUCGGCGCACAGUUAAUAUCUUAGAAGUUAAACUAUGCAUUGCAGCAUAGGGUCUGACCAUUUUCAUAACUUCCGGGUUCAAGCCUAGGUUGGGAAACACACUCAACUAAUUAAACAAGAACCACUAGUCCACUUGCAUCGGUUACAUGUCAAAACAUUUAAUUUCACUUAUUUUUCUGUGUUGCUUAAUUUCAUGUAUUAGAUUUUUGAACAAGAUUUCUUGUAUUAGAUUAAAAAAAAUUAUUUGGUCAAUUUUCUCAUAGAAUAAACUAUUAAAAAUAUUAUUAUUAAAAAAAACCAUAAUCAUCGAGUUUAGGAUGUUGGGACUUGGGACUAAGGAUAUAGGGGAAUUCUGAACCCUAGCUUGCUUGCUCCGCUGCGAAGGACGAAUAAGAAGAAGACAAACACCAAAAUCGGCAUGACAAGAAAAAGAAAGCCCUCCUUUUUCAAGGUUCUUAUAGGUGACUUCUCUGACCAGCUGGUAAGUCCUUCUCUAACAUGUACGAACGAAAAUCUUUGUUACACAUCCCCCAUUGUUAUAUCAAUUGAGUUUUGCAAUUUCCAUGAUGAAAUUUUAAUUUUAAAUAAACUUAAACUAAGGUAUAGAAUUCCAAAGUAUCCACUUUAUAAAGAUGAAGUUCCUUGUCCCUAUUGUAGAUUGUGCUUUUCGUUUUUCCACUAUGAUUAUGAGACAAGAGUUUACUUCGUCAUUAGGUUUUGUAUACUAUGUAGUGUCCAUUGAUUCACAUCCUAACCACUUUUGUUACAGAGCAUCCCACAAGCUUUCCAUAAGCAUUUUGAUGGAAGGGUACCUCAGCAGUCCCAUCUUCAGACCCCGACUGGAACUUGGUUUGUUGAUGUGAAAAGUGAUAAUGGGAGGUUGUUUUUACAAAAGGGUUGGAAGCAAUUUGUGCGUGAUAAUGGUUUAAGGCUUGGCGAGUUUCUAGUUUUUCGAUACGCUGGAAAUUCAAAAUUCUUUGUUGACAUAUAUGCGAGACAUGGCUGCAAAAAGGAACUUAUAAUGGCGGCUACGGGAAGUGAAAGACCUCUUGUAAAGAGACAGAGUGAAGAGAUUCAUAGAACAAAUGCUAACUCGAAGAAGUAUGUUGGCAGCUCCACGAGACAUCCAAAGCAGAACAUGGAUAAUGAGAACUUAGAAGGUUCCACUGGUGGAUAUAAAGCUGGUCAAGAAACUGUUACCGUCAAAUCUGAACCUAUUAGUGAUAGUGAAUUGAAAACAUCUGUGGAUCUUGAUGAGUCUAUUAGUAAGUUUCUGAACGGAUAUAUUUUAAUGCACUUUCAAAAAUCAAAACUACUGCAAAUGCUUAUUUCUUCACUUGGUUCAUGCAGGAAAUAUGAAUACUAGAGAGACUUUGGCUUCACAGCCUCAAGUGGAAAAUCGAACACAAGCUACUGCUCUUGAAGCAGCCAACAAAUGUGCAUCGAAGCAUCCUUGCUUCAGAGUUAUUUUGACUCAAAAUUAUGUGACCAAAGGAAUGCUGGUAGGAACAUGAACACAAGCCUCCUCAUCUGAUAUCUUUGUUGAUAAAUAAUCUUGUAAUUUGGUCAUGCAUCAAUUUGGUUCAUAGUAUGCACAAAAUCAUAACCUAUUUGGUCUAACCUUUGCAGCAUUUACCGAGUACCUUGUAAAAAAUAUCAAGAUAAAGAAACAGAUAGCUAAGCUUCAAGUUUCAAACAGGUUGUGGUCUGUGAAGUGGACUAAUGACCAUCACUUCAGUAGGUUCUCUCAAGGUUGGAAUGAGUUUGUUAGAGAGAAUGAUUUGAAAAUAGGAGAUGUUUGUAUCUUUGAGUUGGUUAAGCAGACAUAUAUAGAUGAUGUUGUGAUGAAAGUUUUUUUUUUUCAGAUGUUGUAGUUGAGAACUUUUUCCUUAAAAUCCAAGAUUUUUUUUUGAAAGGGUACAAUAGUAUUUUUUGAAAGGUCCUUAUAAUCCAAGAUGGUGUGGUGUAGAUUACAAUAAGUUUAUAAGUUCAUACAUAUAUUAACUACCGAUUUCAUAGUCCUGGGAUGUACACAUCUUGUACAUCUAAAAUCUAUUUUUCUGCUAAUCGAUGUGUAAAUAACUAUAGAUAUUGUAUUUGGGAAAGACUCUAAACACUAAACUGUGCCGAGAAACGAACCCACUCGGACCAUACUUGGUUUAAAACCAUUCCAGACGGUCUCAUAAUAAUGAAAUUUGCCUUUCAUCAUCCACUUUUCUCUUCACUUAUAAAGGUUGAAUUUUUCUCAAUUAUUUUCUCCUUUAUGUCAAAUUUUCUUGAAGUGCAAAUGUGCAAUAGUUAAAGAGAACUAUUCAAUUGACAAAGGACAAAUCUAUUACAUUCAGACUGCAUGAUCGUGUUUCAUGAGGUCAUCAAAAGCAUUAAUUAGAAGGUCUGAUUGAUGAUACUCUGCACUAAGUUGUUGCAUAGAAAGAACUAUAUUUAUACAGAAGAAUUUUAAUCAAACUUAUGAACAGAAAAAGUUUUCUCCAAUACUGAUAUGCAAGUUCAGUCCCAGGAUUCUAAUUUAACAUGUAUCAAACAUACACCAAUCCAUAUAUGAGCAUAGUUGCUCUAUACCAAUUGUUAGAUUCAAUAUUAUACAUACAUGAAAAUGCUACAUAAUGGAUCAAAUGUUUAUAAGUUUAAAAACUAACUUGCAAUAGCAUUGUAGGAAUUCAUGUUAGGAUCCAUAUCAAUCUUCUCCUAGAUUCACUUCUGUAUACUCUCUUGUUUGCUUGAUGGGACAUAUAUGAAUGAGAAUGUAUAGUGUUCUAGCGGGGAUCGAAAGACUUAAAUAGAGCAAUUCUCAACUUCCCAUCAAGUAAACUGCCAUAACUUCUGAUCUUAAUCUUCUCCUUUGUCUUGAUGUUUUAUACUUUGAAUUUCAAAUUCUAAACAAACUCAACUGCAUUAUAUUAAUUUGAUAAUAUUGACUAUAUAUAUGUAUACAGCUUUACAAAGUUCAUAAAAUUCAUUUGCUGAUAUGCACAUAUAGCAGACUGUUGGGGAACAAUCAUAUAUAUGAUAUGAUCUUUAAAUAAAAUAGAAAUCUCAAUAAAGAAUGUGAGAAACAAAACAAAGUAUGAUUAGGAUUUUUUUUUUUGGUCGAAAAAGUAUGAUUAGGAUUGAAAGUAACGUACAAUUCAAUCCUAAUUUAUGAGUAUAAUAUUAUAUGAAUCUUAUAAAAAUAGUACAAUGAAAGAAAGAACUGACUUGAUAUUCUGAUUGAGGCAUGCAUAAAUGCACUUGACUAAAGACAGAUUUCGCCCCUACCCUUGUGCUUGUAGUUCGAAGGGCAUCUGCCUUGUAGAAUACAACAAUCGAUGAUCCAAAAUAGAAACACCGCAAUUUUGGACUCUAGCAAACCAUAAAUUGUAUCUUGUACUCUCUUGACACGAAUAAGACUUCUAGAAGAAUUGAGAAUUCUUGAUCUUAUCUUUAAGGAGAUAUGAGUAUGGGUUUAUAUAGAACCCCAAGUGAACUAACAUGUCUGUUCACUUAUCUCCUUGAAGAGACACACUUAUUCCUAAAGACACAUAUUGAAAAAGACAUACCCUUUCAAAUGGAAAUGUCAUGAGUAAUUUUAUUUUCAUUCAUAUUGGAUAUUAUUACAUAAUCUCCAACAAUCCCCCACAUGAAUGAAAAUGACAAUGACAAAGAAUUAGAGAGUACAAGCGAACAAGAGAUGCAUUUGAAAAUGUGUCUUUUGGACUUGAACCUUUCAUAGUGAAGACUUAUCGGAUUUACUUGGUGAAAUAGAAGAUAUAGAAGAUCUUUGAAUUAUUCACCAUUUGUGUAAACCAAGACAAUAAGCCUCACACAUCUCUUAUUCUAAUACACAAUGGUUCUUACGGUUGUGUUCAUUUUGGUCCUGAACUAAAGAAGUUUAGAGUUUGUGAAGAAUAAAUCUUAUUCAACAAAGCUGUUUACAAGAGUAUAUAUACACAGACAUCUAACACACUAGGGUUUCUCCUAAUACACGUCAUAUAUAUCGAUCCCUGAUUACUAGGAUUCUGCUGAGAUUUCACAGACCAAAUAGGAAAGUAGUUGUUGUGUUAUCCUCCUCUCCUCACAAUCUGAUUCUUUCCAGCUUGGACUUGAUCUCCAUCUUCAAUACUAUCUUUAUCACUCCCCCUCAAGUUGGAAUGUAUAUUGAUAACAUUCAACUUGCCAAGUAACGAUUGAAACUAAAUUGAACUAACCGGUUUGGUGAACAAAUCUGCCGGUUGCUCUUUAGUUCUUAUGUGUGCAGUUUGAAUGACUCCUUGCUGCAUCUUCUCUCGUACCACAUGACAAUCUAUUUCUAUGUGCUUGGUACGUUCAUGAAAGACUGGAUUAGAAGCAAUGUGAAGUGCUGCUUGGUUGUCACAAAACAAUCUUGUUGGUCGAAACUGUUUUUCAUUCAAGUCUUGCAAGAUGUUCCUUAACCAUGUAAUGUCACAACCGUAGUAGCCAUCGAUCUAUACUCUGCUUCUGCACUAGACCGCGACACUGUAGUCUGUUUCUUUGCUCUCCAUGAAAUUGGCGCUCUUCCAAGCAUCACACAAUAACCUGUGACUGAUCUUCUUGUGUCUUUACAUCGAGCCCAGUCUGCAUCACAAAAUCCUGUUAACUCGAGUUUUCCAGUAGAAGGUAACAAAAUGCCUUGACCAAGAGUUCCUUUCAGAUAUCGAAGAACUAAGUGUGCUGCAUCCAAAUGUGGCUGUCGAGGUUUAUCCAUAAAUUGGCUCAAAACAUGCACAGCAUAUGCCAAAUCAGGUCUCGUAAUUGUCAAAUAAAUCAUGCGACCAACAAGCCUUCUAUACUGUGAAGGAUCUGCCAACAAACUUCCUUCUGAUUGCAUUAGUGUAAGGUUAUGAUCAACAGGAAAACGAGAAGGUUUAGAUGCUAAGAAACCUGUGUCUUCAAGCAUCUCAAGUGCAUAUUUCCUUUGACAUAAAGCAAUACCAUGCCGAGAUCUGGCAACUUCGAUUCCUAGGAAGUAUUUGAGGUUUCCUAGGUCUUUCAAUUUGAACUUGCUGGAAAGGAACUUCUUUGUGCUUGUGAUGUCUUCUAAACUGUUUCCUGCAAGAAUGACAUCAUCCACAUACACUAGCAAAACUGUGAACUUGCCAUCUUGAUUUCGGACGAACAAUGAGUAAUCACUCCAAGAUUGGUGAAAGCCUGCUGAUUUUAGAGCAAGUGACAACUUGAUGAACUAUUGUCUGGAAGCUUGCUUCAAACCAUAUAGACUCUUGUGCAAUUUACACACAACAUUCUCCUUUCGGCCAAAUCCAGGUGGCAACUGCAUGUACACAUCUUCAGUGAGGUCUCCAUGAAGGAAAGCAUUGUUGACAUCUAAUUGAUGGAGAUGCCAACCGCGGAUAGCAGCCAAUCCAAGAAGUAACCUGACAGUUGUGAGUUUGGCUACCGGAGCAAAGGUCUCUUUGUAGUCUAUGCCUUCCACUUGACUAUAGCCUUUAGCCACAAGGCGUGCUUUGUAUCUAGGGAUGGCAAUAAUACCCAGCGGGUAGGGUACCCACGGGUAUUCGACCCUAACGGGGAAGAUAUACGGGGAUAAACGUAGGGAUGGCAAUAAUACCCAGCGGGUAGGGUACCCACGGGUAUUCAACCCUAACGGGGAAGAUAUACGGGGAUAAACGGGUAACGGGUAUGGGGAUCCCCAGUAUUCGGAUUCUUGAAUCGGGUACGGGGCGGGUAUGGUAUUUUGAUAUUCGUCCCCAUCCCCACCCAUUAAGGAUGAAAAUAUUAUUAUAUAUAAUUAUAUAAUUUAUUAUUAUUUAUAUAUAAUUUAUAAAUAAAUAUUUAUGUAAAAAAAUUUGUGAUUCUCUUAAUAAACAUUUAAUGGGUUCUUUUUUAUUAUAUAUUUUUAUUUUCUUAAUGAAAUUUUACACCAAUAAGAUUGUUUNNNN